UCCAUGCAUAUACGCAUCCUAUACUGCAUGGCCAACUUCAGAGAGCUAAAAGAAGCUCUUAUUGAAUACAUGAUAGAUAAUGUCCCACUGACCCUUUUACUCUGAUACCUUGAAAUGAGAAAUUUGGAGGUUUUCCACAUCAAGCUUCUUGAAAUUAUUGCGCCUUCUCGUAACAAAGAACUUUCCCCAGUUGUAUGCUCUAUACUUUGGCUUUUCCCCCUUCGUCAGCUCCUCCAAGGGCUUCACCCAAACAUGGUGCCCGGGACUCAAAACGAACGGAAUCGAGAACCUUUACCUCUCUGAAUUCUCCAUCACCCUGUGCUCCACACUUUCAUAAGUAUCGUUGCUCCAGACCUGGUUUAAUAUCAGUAGAAUUAGCCAAAUGAGUGUAAAAUUCCUUGAGCCAAACAGUACUGAUAAGCAUGUACUUAUAAUUCAAAGUUCUUGGGUGGUACCUGAACUAUAUCCCCAACAUUGAUGAUAUAAGCAUCUGGGGUGGGCUUAACUCGAACCCAUUCUCCAUCGGUUUUUCGAUUUACUUCCAACCCUCCAACAUCAUCCUGAGCAAGGAAAGUUAAGGCUCCGGAAUCCUUGUGGCGACCAACGCCCAGAGCUAGGUGAGGAAUGGAGCAAGGUGGGUAGUGAUUGAGGCGGAUGAAGUUUGUUGAUUCUUCAUUCAGGGAUUAUUUCAUCCCUUUUAACCAAAUAUUUAACAUGAUCAAAGACUAUUCCCUAAAUGAAGGCAUACUGUAGCAAAUACCCUUAAUCUGAACAUUGAAAGUACAACUUAAACUAGUAUCAAACACUCUGUUUUUAAACCCAUAGCUACUCCAAAUAUCCCAAAUACUCUUUUCUAUGUAACCUCUCUUUGUCUCUUUCUCGCUCACACACACAUGCUUCCCCACAAAAAUACAUACACACAUAGAGAAGAACACAAUCUCUUAUCCGAUUCCCUUCCGAUUUAUGAUUCUAAGCUGGCGGGUCACUCUCUUAUUCUUUUGCUUUCUUGCGAUGGAGCUCCAUGCUCUCCUUUCCUCAUUUUUUUUCUUGGAUAAAUACUCUAUAAAACAUCCUCUCUCGAUGCUCUAUCUAAACUCACUUGCUCAUUUCACAUUUUUUUCUUUUUGGAUGCUUUCUUUAUGCUCCCAGGCAUAUGCCAGUUUUUUAUGACUAUUUUUGAAGUUGGGAUUCAGAAUUCACUAAAAUCUUUUCUCAAACUUGGAUUUUUCUCAACUCAACCCUAACUUCUUUUCUAUCAGUACCAAGGCUAGAGAAUAUAGUUUAUACCCUUGUAUUUCGUUAUGUACCAAGCCCACAAGAUGAUCAAUAAGUUUCUCUCUAGAUUUUACAUUGGAGUUGAUUGAUGACAUACCCUUAUUAGGUACUAUAUUCUCUUCCUUAGGUAUUGCUUUUUCCUUCCUUAGAUACUACCUUUGCAACCUUGGGUGCACGAUCGAAUCCAUCGUUUCAUGGCCACUUCAAGUAAGUCAGGAACUUAUGUACAUGUGUGCUACAUGUCUUAUAGGUAUUACCUUUACAUUCUGUAGGUACUACCUUUACCUUCCAUAGGUACAAAUAUGAUUAAUAAUAAGAAUUUUAACAUAAAAAAGGGAAAAAUCAUGUCUGAUAAUAAAAUUGCAUAUAUUUUCUUUCUUGCUUUUUUUUUUUUUUUUGGGUCUUUGCUUUGGUUUUUAUUUAUGUGUUUGUUUCUUUUAGUCUUUGUGUGUGUGUGUGUUUUAUUUUAUUUUAUUUUUUUCAUCCCUAUGCAGAAGAUGUAGAGGAAGCAACAUCACAUCAUAAGGUGCAUUUUUCUGUUCAUUUAAGCCUAAAGGUUCUGGAUUCACAAAAUGGUGGGAACUAAGGGUGAGAAACUGGAAAAAAAAAUGUUGGAUUGAGCUACAUUUGAUCAAUAGUGAAUUUGCAAAAAAGAUUGUAGGAGAGGUUUCUUGAGGUGGACAAGGUCAGAAGCAAGGAGCCUUUUCCUAGUUUUUGGGAAGAACUUAUUGUUAACGUGUGAAUUCAUUAAGGGUAAUUUAUGUAAGAUUUUCUAGAUUUUGCAAGUGAAUGCACCUUAGCUUUUCCUAUUGUAUUUGUGUUUUUUUAGGUUGAUUAUUUUAUUGAUCGUCACCACUCAAGGAAUGGAAGCAAUAGGGUCUCUAGAUGUACUGCGUAAAGGCGGGCAUACAGGCGUUGUUAGGAAUGUGUUUCCCAUGUCCAACAAGCAUAUUGACACCACCUAAAGCCAAGGCAUCUUUGGACGAGGAGUUCUAGCUUCUACUUCUGUGGACUUUGUAGAUGUCGUCUGGCUCUUCUAAAUAUUUAUUGUUAUGUAGUAGUUAUACACAUGUACUUUGUUUAAGUGAAUUGAUUAUUGGAUUUUUAGUUAAAUCAAAUUUAAGGGUAUGUUGUUUAAUUUACUAGUGAUCUCUUGUUUGUAAUUCUCGUUAUCAUAUAUAAAUCUUUGUUAGCAUUUUCCAAUUUCCUCAAUAGCAACUAUAUUAGUUUUCAGUGGAAUGAAUCUUGAGUAACUUGUAGUAUCAUUUUUGGUUUUGAAUUGACUAAUCUGUUUUGGAAGGAUGAAUUAGAUAUAUGAGCUUGAUUGCUAACAGUAGUUGAGUUUGUUUUGAUCUCGGGAUAUUUGCCUUGUUGAAUAGGACGUAGAUUUUGGGUCCAAAGAGUUGAAAAUUGAUGAGCUUAACCAAGACAUAGGAGAACCACAUGCAACACUAACCAGAGUUCCUACAACAAGCUAAUAACCAUGAUUUAGAAAUGUGAUUUCGUUAAAGGGAAGCAUUUCUAAUCUUAUUUGAAAGGAAACUUUGAUGUCUUCCCUAAUACACUAGAAUAUUAAUUUAAAAACAACAAUUAAGGUUAUAUUAACUAUUAUAAUAAUUUAUAAAUUAUAUAAAUAUGAUAAUAACUAUUAAAAUGAAAGUAUUAAAUGUAAAAAAGUUUAAUCUUGUUGGGUAAAAACUUCAUCAAUCUUUUAUUAUUGAACUUCUAUUAUAUAAUCAAACAUAGUGAUGAUCCUCGGUUGGAUUAAUCAACACUUGUUUCAUAAAUUGAACAACAUAUAACAUGAUCAACCAUAAACAAACAAGUAAACAUCAUACUAGAUAAAACUAUCUCUUAAGAUUUCUAUUAUUACAUGUUUAAAUUACAAAUCAUAUUUUUGCAACUUUCGUAAAAUUAUGCAAUAGAUAUGAUUAAAAUUACGAAACAUCGGAAAUGUAUAUUGAUUCAUUAUUCAGAUUCAUCAUAUCAUAUAUAUCCUUUAGUAGUCCAUAAGAUCAAAUAAUAACCAAAAUUCAAAAAAUAUGUUUUAUGAUCCAAAAUUGAUUGACACUAAUAUCAUUUGUUAAAUAAACUUUAUGUGAAAUAAUUAUUUUGGAAAAUCAAUUUGGAUGCAUAAUGCAUAAUAGGUAUAAGAAAUAAAGAAAUGACAAAAUAAUAAUUAUAUUCUUGUCUUAAUCCAUGAUACUGAUAACACUUGUAAUGUGAAUUUGAGUCAUUUUGUGAAUUGUUGGGUCAAGGUCUUCAACUCACCAUUCUCAUUUAGUAGAUGAGUCAAUUGUGUGGUAUAUGUUGUUAUAAGUAAAACAACUAAAAACAUAAGAAUGCAAUGUGACUUAGGACCUUAACUUUAUAAAAAAGAUUUAUAACUCUUAAUAUUCUCAUAAAAGAUUAUAUGAAAGUUAUACUCAUUAUUUAUAAACAUUAUACACAGAUUAAUGGACAAUGGUAAACUACCAACUUGAAUACAUUCAUGUAAUUGUAUAAAUUACACUUUUUCAUCUUCCUCUAUUAGUCAUAAACUUUAUGUACAAAUGAAAUCUCAUAAAGAUGGAGUUACACAAGUUGUAAUACCAUAUUCUUAUAAAUGAAAUUUUUCUAACUCUGUAUUUAUAAUUUUAAUCUUCUAUGUUAGAAGUUGAAUUUGUUCCACGUCGCCAAGUUAUUGGGUUAUUAUGUUGUUCAUAUAUGUAGAUUGGUCACCUCUCCAAGCUAGCUUUUGGGAAUGAAUUCUAUUCAAACCCAUUUAACAUGGUAUCAGAGCUUGGUUUGACUGUGGGUUGUGGGUUCGAGCCACCUCUCUGCAAUUCGCAUGUUUGUUCCUUAUUUGCAUGUUUGGAAGUCUAGAAAAGGUUAUUUGCAUUUGUUUGUCUCUUCACGUGUGGAUAUGGGACCACACAUAAGAGAGGGUGUUAAAAAGCUUGAUAUGUACGUAUAUUGAACCUAAAUCUUAUAAGUUUAAGCUUUUAGGAAAAUUAGUAAUUCAACAUUCUAUACAUAAAAUUAUUUGAUGUCCAAUCAAUUGAUUCACCUACCUAUCAAUUAAUAUACUUUUAAAUAAAAUAUAUUUCAAUCCAUUACACAAAUAUAAUUAAAACAAAAUACUAUAGUAAUGUGAGUAUGUGAUAAAUAAAUAAAAUAAAAAUAAUCACGUGUUACAUGUAAACUAUAUUCAAAGGAAAAACCCACUAUUAAACAAUCCAUUGUAUAAUGAUCAAUUACAAAGACCAAGUAUUACCAAACUUAAAAGUAUCUAAAUCAUACUCACUUUGCACAUUUUCUUUAUACUUGGAUCCUUUAAACACAUUUAUCCCAAUGUGGAUGCAUCUUGAGUUCUAAUCAAGGAAAUCAACCUUUGAGUAAAAUUUUCAUCAAGUUAAAGUCUCUUUAUAUCAUUGAGAACCAUAUCAAGAUUUCUUUUUGUUGGUUGCUUUCAAAGUCCCACUAGAAUUAGAAUGAACAUUUUAUAAAUUCUAGGACUUUAACAUAUGAAUUCUUCAAUGAGUCAAUCAAAUAUUAAAUUUUAUCUCCAUAGAUGGACCUCAAUGAAUUUUUCAACAAAUUAAAGGUGUUAACACUAAUUUCAUAUUAGAAAAAAAAAAAAAAUCAUGUGACACAUAUUGAUAUAUAUAUAUAUAUAUAUAUAUAUAUAUAUAUAGGUGUUGUCUGGGAUAAAUAGAUUGAAUUCAUGAGAAAAUUAUUCUUAAUUUUGUAAAAAUUAUAUAUAUAAGAAAGUUUUUAGACUUACUAAAACACAUUACUAAUCAAGUGGUAAUAUUUAUAUCUCAUUAUUUUGUAAUCAAGUCUCAUUCAUUUGUAUCACAUAUGAGUCCUAUUAUUUUAUACCUUACUCUUAUUAUAUUGUACUUUGAUCUUAUUUGUUUAUACAUCGAUUUCAUUUCUUUAUAUGUUCAUCAUAUUUAUUUAUAUCUCGAUCUUAAUUAUUUAUAUCUUUCAAUAGUUUAGAUUUCAAUACAUAUUUUUAAAUAUUUUAAUUGGAAAUUCAAUAUCUUACUAUUUUUCUAAAUAGCUACCUAUAAUCCUUUGUAGACUCAAAAUUCACUUCAAGCCAUCAAAAAAAUCGACCUCUCUUUGUAAGUUGCUAUACUCAUUGCUAAACUAUAAUUCCAAAAAUAGCAGAACUUUUCAUACUUAUUCUAGGCAAUUAGAGUCGAGAUGUUCCAGGCAUAUACCAUUGUCUUUCAAGAUUUGAAAGAAAUGUUACGAUUUCAGCAUGAAAUAAUGCAUGUCGAUUAACAAUAUUGCUCAGAUUCUUUAGGCAAAGGUCCCAGCCUAGAGAUUGAUAAUGUUUCUUUGAAGCAAAAUGACAAAAUGGAAUAACACAAGAAAGCCAGAACCAAUUAAGUGUCCACAGACAAAAAAAUUUAUUUAUUUAUUUUCUGAACCACCCCUGAAAUUGACACCUCCCAUACAGUCUGCAUUUCUGUGGCACUAUUUCCCUUAUUCCUAACCAUAAAUCUGCUGCCAUCUCAAUAAUUCACAUCCUUAUCCACUCCUUAUCUAGGGUUGUAACACUUUUUUCAAAAAGAUUUUUUUUUUUUUUUUUCUAAGGGGUGGAUAAGGGUCCUGAGACAAGCUGUGGAAUAAUUAUAAACCCACUUGGGUAAUGGUUUCAUUGUCAGGGUAAUACUAUUUAAGGUGAAAAUCAGCUGGGUCUAUCAUUCUUGUUUCCAUAUGACUGUUUCCAAGGAUAACUCAACCUUCAAAUCCAUCGAGCAGUCAUAUAAAAAUACACGCAGAUUUCAUAUUUUGAAGCUUGUCCUGUGUUCAGAUCGGAUAACUCACUCAUAUGCCUAAUCACCAAUCGCCAACUUGAGCGUAAAAAAAGCGUGGGGCGAUAUUAUUUGUAUAUGGGUUUGACUGUUUGAGAGAGAAAGGUGGGGUGUCCCUUGGAGGAGUCCAAAGGCCAUUUUUGAACCUGCCUUUGAUUAUCGCCAUGGCAAAUCAACAGCUUGUAGUGUAUAUAUAUAUAUAUAUAUAUAUUAAUGGAGACCAAGACUCAAAUAGAGAGAGAGACGCGGGAUGCGAUAAAGAGAACAGUAUAGCCAAGAGUAUAUAAGCAUUUCUAUUGCUGUAAUGGUGAUUCAGAGACUGGAAAUGUGUAUAUCACUGCUGAAAAUGGCAGUAGAGUUUGUGCUUGUUUUCGCGGAGGCAGUCGGGCUAGUCAUCAACCACAAUGCCACGCCGCUUUUGGCAAACUCAGCCUCAGUUGGCAAUGAUGUUUCUGUCCCUUUUAUCGGUUUUCUUCUUUGAAUUCUUCGUCUUGUAGUUUCCUUCCUUAGCAGAAUGCCCAUUGGCCAUUGUAUACGUUGAGGUUUCAUUUUUGUCUUGAUAGAUUUUGCCUUGGAAAGUGUCUGUACUACCAGCUAAAAGAUGUGAAUGUUUGAUAGGAGAGAGUACAUAUAACAUCUUUGUAAACUUCGAUUAAUUUUGGUUCUGGGUGAGCUUCAUCUUCUGCAAAUUCAUUUGCUGGUAGCUUUGGAAAUGAAUCUUCAGUGGUUUGGGUGGUGAUUAUUUGCUUGCUUCACACGAUUUUAUGUGUUGUUCCUUUGGUAAUAAUCUUGUUGGAUGGAUCAAGGAGGAGCGAUGAUCAGGAAAAUAAAGUCGGGAGAAAGAAAAGAUAUAAUGAUGAUUAAGAAAGGCUUUAAUAUACUUGCAAGAUCAGGAAAAAAUAUUUCUUGGUUAAUCAAUUAUUUUCUUGCUUGAUAUGGGUUUGAUACUUUUUGUCAAUUGGUGAUCAUUCUGGGAAGAUCAGGAAGAAGAAAAUGGGGUCUAGAUGAAGAAAAGCUAUAAUGGUGAUUAUUAAUUGAAAUCAGAUGAAAUAAAAGUCUGUUUCCAUCAUUCUUAAUAGGGUUUCAUAGUCCCCGCAGGACUUUAGUACUCAUCAAACUCAUAAAUUUUGAACAACUUUGAGCUAACCUUCUGCAUUAAUUUGGUGCAUCUGCGCAGUUGCAGAGUAUGAACACCCACAAAAUCUUAAUAUGAAUCUUUUGGGGCAAUAGCUUCUAUAUAUGAUGGAUGAUAAGAACAAAGCAAAUCUUGGGUUCUCCAUGGCCACGAUCAUUUAUCCGCCAUAUAAAAUGCAGAUUUUCCUAACACCAACCCCUUAUUUUAAUAAAGUCAAGUUAUUUUAAGGCCCCCAUUAUUAGACAUGCCCUAGAAGCAUUGGGUCUGUGAUUAAAAAAAUGUAGUAAUAUCAUUUAAAAUAUCUAACACUGAAAUUUUGAUAAUUUUGAAUGUCAUAGUGUGGAUUUGAAGAAAGAAAUCGUAUCCAAGAUCUCUUCCUUUUCCUGGGAAACAUUAGUCUUGGUCAAUUAUGAACUGUUACACGUUACCUAUCAUGAUCAUAUUUAUAUUAGCUUUGAUUUCUAUGGGGGUUAUAAUUUAUUUGUAUGCUAAUCAUAGAGGUGAUACAUGUGAUCCACAUGUCAUAUUUGGACUUGGAACCAAUCAUUGGAUUCCUUUGAUGAACUGGCAAUGGAAGAAUACUAAUUGCUCCGGUCCCUUUCUUUUUUCAACGUAGGAUGAUCAGGUCCUUUGAUCUCUUCCACACCCACUGGCUGUUUUUCUUUGUUCCUUUUUCAAUCAUCCAUAGCUGAAAAGCCUUGAUGCCCUCCUUGACUUUCCCAAGAUAAAACACCUUAUCUUCACUUUCUUUCUUUUCCCUUUAAAUUUGAUUUUAGAUCUGAAAUCCAGGGCUUAUGACCCUGUAGAAGAAAGACAGAUAUGAAGCUUGGGAUGAUUUGAACUUCAGUUUGAUUUUCUGCACACUGUUUAAAACUCCUGAAAUAUAGUUGUAUAUUGCAAUACAUUUAUAAUUGAUACAACUGAACCAUGAUGUUUCUAUUAGUAAAAAUUUCUUUGAAUCAAUCCACAGUUCAAAGUACCAAUUUCAAUUGAAACUUUUUUCUUUUCCUGCUUAUUCAAUUGUUUCGUUUUCCACAUAAUGGUAUGACAACAUCAAGAAUACUUCUCAGCAAUUGCCUGCAGGUGAACCCAAAGCUCUUUUGGCUGAGACAUCAUGACCAUGUGAUCAGAUCCUUUAAUCUCUUUAACAGCAUCAGGUGGGUUUUCUUCGAUCAUCCAGAGUUGAAAAUCCUUUUUCGCCAGCUUGUCUUCCUCAGAAAUAAUAAAGACACGUUUAACCGAGGCAUAUUUCUUCGACAACAUGAGAUCCUUUGACAUGUCUUCUUCACUGAACAAGCGUAAGGGUCUCAUCAACAUAGUCCCUAGUGCCAAGUCCUGGAAAAUUUGUGCCCAAAAUGAUAUAACAACAACAAUGAAAAGUCUCAUGAUUUUGGCUGUAAGGCCUGAAUUAAUGAAGUUCUCACCUCAGUUGGGCUCAACUGAUACACAUUCAGUGAUGAGAACAAGGGGCCAAAGGUGAAAGUGGUGGGAGGAUUGUUGGGGCCAUUAUCAUAUGUGAACUGGCUGUCUAGUAGAGGACCUUGUCUCCUGAGUGACUUCAAUAAGAAGUAGAAACCAGGCUAAAAGUCAGAAACAGGGGAAGCCUUCCCCUCUUAAUCAACAAGUAAAUUUCUGUAAAAGAAAAAUAGUAUGUAUGAAGUACCUCUUGAUUGAGAGUGGAAAUGUUGAGAGUGGGACCAGGCAUUGAGGCAGUAACAAAAACAGCUACAGAAACCUUUUCUGGGAACUUCUCCAUGGCCUGAGAAAUGGCCAACCCACCCAAGCUGUGUCCAACGAGAACCACCCUUUCAUCUGCAGGGAGUGACUCCAUGAAGUCCCUCAGUGGCUGGAAAUACUCAGAAAUAGAUCGCAGAUCACCCACUUGUUUUGGGUUAAUUCCAGAAGCAGCCAAGUCCAGAGCAGUGACUUUGUGGCCAGAUGAUUUUAGUAGUGCCACAAUCUUGUACCAAGACCAGGCACCAUGGCAAGACCCAUGAACUAGAACAUAGUGCUUGACGGGAUUAGCCUGUCUCCCCUCUGAUGCCAUUGAAUACACUGAAGAAACAAGAAAAAUCAGAAAGGAAACUAAAAUCGUAUGCUUCUUCCUUUCCUGCGUACUCCUUUCCUGUUACAGAGAUGGUCAGCACCCAAGCAUUUUAAAGGGCACAAUUGGCUUUCACUACAACUACUAAUCUAAUGGAUUAAAAUUUUUCCUGUGAAAUUGACUCUAGAAAUAAAAUAAGGAUUAAGGAUUCAAGAAUAUGUACACAUAGACUGCCAGGGUUUAAAAGAUGACACAUGCACCUGCGUCACACUCUUUUUCAAUGAUAAAGAAGUUAUGCAAAGGAAGAAAGAAUGAAAUAUACAGAGUCUAGUAGUUAACUCCUCCCCUUGAAUUCUUCUGUUGCCCGGAUUGGUUUGUAACUGCAAACAUUUUCUUUUCCCAAUGUGAUCUGUGGAUUGAGUUCUGAUCUCAAUUUGUUUUUGGCAUUUUUGGUUUUGCUUCUGCAAAUCUUGAGAUGUAUCUUUCAAUUAAUAUAAGUAAGUUAUGCAGUAAAGGUUUUUGGACAUAUAAAAUGUUAGCCAAACCUUUCCCAUGGCGGGUUGAAGGUACUUUGGGGUAGGCUUGGUCACGCUUGAUACCUCAAUCGGACUGAAACAUGAUGUUUUCACCCAUUUGAAUUGGUCAAAGCUGUGUUGACUGGCAUGAUUCCUUUAAUAAAGAAGUUGUUUUUGGAUUAAGGCCUACAACACCAAUUUCACUUAAAUACAUCUAUUUAAUAAUUAUGUAUUAACAUAAUUAUAAUCAAUUGAGUCGAAAACAAUUAAAUUAAAAAGUUAAUUAUAUUGACUUAAAUAAAAUCUGACUCAACCAGAUUAUUAAAUAAAUUACUCAACUUAUUACAUGUUUAAUAAUUAAGUCGUAUUUGGGUUUAUACUUUUAACUCAAUUAUUAUUCAUGUUAUAUUUGUGUUGACUUAUUAAGUCACAGUAUCUAAAUUUAAUUUGAUAUGACAUGAACACUACCCACCAACAUUAAUUGUAUCCCCUGUUUUAAGUUCCGGUGGCAUCAUGAGUUUGGCCUCUGUUUUGAGUGUUGAAUUAACCUUUCCCAUGGUUGUCAAGUUCUUCAUAAAUUAUUGGUGAUUGUAAUAAUUUCCUCAUAAAUUAAUGGCGCUAUAUGCUUCUUUAGGAUCCAUUGAUCUUACUAAUUCUCUUCCUGGUAUGGGAAGAAAAUGACUCUUCCAUUAAUGCAGCAUGCAUUGCUACUUAUUUAUCAAGCAAAUUACAUUAUUAUUUUCACACCAAACCUCCAAAUUCAUCAUGUACUUAUCCUAUAUACUACAUGGUGAACUUUAGAGAGCUAAAACAAGCUCUUCUUGAUUAAAGAUAGAUAAUGUCCUAUUGACCUUUUUACUUUGAUGCCUUGAAAUGAGAAAUUUGGAUGUUUUCUACAUCAAGCUUCUUGAAAUUAUUGUGCUUUCUCGUAGUAAAGAAUUUUCCCAAGUUGUGUACUUUGGCUUUUCCCCCUUUGUCAUCUCCUCCAAGGGUUGCACCCAAACACGGUGUUCGGGAUUGAAAAAGAACGGAAUCAAAAACCUUUCCCUCUCUGAAUUCACCAUCACCCUAUGCUCCACACUCUCAUAAGUAUCGUUGCUCCAUACCUGAUUUAAUAUCAAGAUAAUUAGACAAAUGGGUGUGUAAAAUUCCUUGAGCCAAACUGUACUGAUAAGCAAGUACUAAAGACGAUACAGGCUUUGAGAGUUAAAGGUCGUUCUUUCUAUAAAUCAAGGCAAUAAGUAUAUAUACAACAUACAACAUAGUUGCUGUUACAGGCUUACCAAAUUAAUUCCACAAUAAAGGAAACUAUACAUGGUUGGUUACCAAAACAAAAAUAGGAGAUUAGCUAUACAUAUUACUAAAAUAUAGGAUUUGAUAAAGAUUGAAGUGGACUUUCAAAUGAACCAUUUUCCUUAUCAUGACCCCUCAAGAUAGACUUCGAUUGAAUGCCUAGCUUGACGCACAAGUGUUGUAGAUGAGCUAAGGAUUGUGGCUUUGUUAAGGCAUCAACAAGUUGAUCCGCGAAAGCAAAAUGAGGCACGCGAAAAGUGUAAUCUUGAACUCACAAAAUGAAAAUAAAUAGCAAUAUGCUUCAUCCAAAAUGUAAAAUUAGGUUGGCGCAUAAGUAGGUGGUACCGACAUUAUCACAAUAGAUUGGCAUGGGUUUGGGAACUGAAAUACCCAACUCAAGUAAUAGGGAGUUAAGCCAAAGAAGUUUGGAAGAAGUUGUAGCUACAACAUGAUACUCUACCUCAGUUGAGGAACGGGCAACAAAUGUUGCUUCUUUGAACUCCAAGAAAUGACAUUAUGACCUAAAAACACAACAUGAGCACUAGUUAAAGUACGAUCAUCACGAUCACCAAUCCAAUCUACAUCGGAGAAGGCAUGAAGGCUAAGAGGGGAUCCUUUUCGAAGAAACAAACAAUGAUGCGUUGUACCUUUAAGAUAACGGAGAAGAUGUUUGAGUGCCAACCAGUGAGUGGUAGUAAGUCUAUGCAUGAAUUGAGAGAGUUUAUUGAUUGAGAAAGCAAUGUUUGGUUGAGUGAAGAAGAGGUACCGAAGACCACCAACAAUAGAUCGAUACUUAGUCGAAUUGGUCAAGGAUGUGCCAUCCACAAGGCUAGGUAUCUGAGAUGUUGACAUAGGAGUUGUGAAUGACUUGGAAUCCAUCAUUUUUGUGUGCUCCAAAAGAUCUAAAACAUAUUUGUGUUGAGAAAGAAAGAGACCAAAUGAGCUUGGAAUAACUUCAACCCCUAAAAAAUAAGAGGCAACACCUAAAUCUUUAAUGGAGAACCGAGUAGCAAGUGUGUGAACAAAAUGAUUGAGAGUACCAUCAUCAUUGCUAGUAACAAUAAUAUCAUCAACAUACACAAGUAGGAAAAUGGUAAAUAGAGACUUCUUAUGGAUGGACAAUGAAGUGUCAAAUUUGGGGUAGAAACUGCUUCACAAACCCUUGAUGGAGUAGAAACUGCUUCAGUUCUUGAUACAAGGCACAUGGUGCUUGUUUGAGGCUAUAAAUAGCUUUCUUAAGAUGACACACAUGGCUUGGAAACUAAGGAUCAACAAACCUUGGUGGUUGAGCCAUAAACACAUUUUUGGCAAAAGUCCCAUGAAGAAAAAGCAUUGUUCACAUCAAGUUGACAAAGUGACCAAUUGAAGGAAAAUGCAAGACUAAGAAUGAGUAGACCAGUAGUAGGUUUCACAACCGGGCUGAAUGUCUUAGCAUAGUCAAUACCAGGGAGUUGAUGAAAACCCUUGGCGACAAGAGGAGCCUUGUAUUGAGCAAUAGAGCCAUCAGGAUUGCGUUUGAUUCGGAAAAUCCAUUUGCAACCAACUAGAUUCUGUGACUUAGUAGAAGGAUUCAACUCCCAUGUGCCAUUAUGAAGAAGAGCAUCAAAUUCUUCAAACAUAGCUUAACACCACUCAAGAAGCUUUAAAGUUUGGGUAACAUAGGCAGGUGCAACAUCAGGAGUGGUAGAGACAAAAGCAUACUUGGUGGAUGGUUUGAAGACAUUAUUCUUGGAUCUUGUAACCAUGGGAUGGGUGUUGAGGGUAGGGGGUCGAGUGGGUGGGAUGGGGGAAGGGGUAGGAUGUGGGGUUGAAAGCAAGAUUGGGCUUGGAGGGAAACUAUGUUGGGAUUGUGUAGUCUCAGCAUUGGGGGGUAAUAUAAUUGACUGGCCAGCAAGAGUGGUAUCAUGAAUGGUCGAAUGCUUAACUGGAGUGGUACCUAAGAUUGUAUUGUCCUGUGAUGAGGGAAUUGAUACGAGAGGGAAUGGAAUAGAUGGGACUAUGGUGGGUGGAGGUUUCUCGGCAGUUGAAGAAAAGAGGACCAUUAUCUCAACAAAGGUGACAUGAUGAGAGGUGAAUAACUUGUGGGAAACUCGAUCAAGGCAAAGGUAUGCACUUUGUGUAAGAGAGUAACCUAAGAAGACACAUGGACGAGAUUUGGAUUGAAGUUUGUGGUCAUUAUAUGGGAGUAACUAAGGAUAACAAAGACAACCAAACAUUCAUAAUUUGUCAAGAAUUAGGUUUGUGAUUGAAUAAUUUCUCAUAGGAAGAGAGGAAUGAGAGGUUUGGUUUAAGCAUUCGAUUAAUAAGAUAGACUAUAGCUUAAAAGGCAAAGGGCCAAAAAGAAGUAGGAAUGGAUGCAUGAUGGAAAAGGAUGAGUCUGGUUUUGACAAUGUGUCUAUGAUGACGUUUGGAGUAACCAUUAUGCUUAGGAGUAUGAGGUGGGGUGGUGAGAUGAGUAAUGCUAGCAAGAGCAAAAUAAUCUUUUAACGCUAGAAAUUCACCACUAUUGUCAUAAUAGAUUUGAAUUAUUUUGGAACUGAAGUAGUUUUCAACUAGAGCUUUAAAUCGAACAAAAACAUCAUAGACAUUAGAUUUCUUUUGAAGUGGAUAUAACCAGACAUAUUUGGUGAAGUGAUCGACAAAGAUAACAUAGUAUUUAAAGUUAUCAUUUGAUACAAUGGGAGAACUCCAAACAUUUGAGUAAAUAGUUUGUAAAUGAGAUGAACUUGUAAUAGAUGAUGUAGAGAAAGGUAGUUUAUGACUUUUAUUGCACUUACAAGAAUUACAAGCAAAAGUAGAAAUAUCAUUAGAUGAUAAAGAAUGACUCUUAGAGGAAACUAAAUAUUGAAGAACUUUGGAAGAGGGAUGACCAAGUCGAUGAUGCCAAUUUGGAAGUGAAGUCUUAACAUUGGAAAAUACAAUCAAAGGUUUUUUCGUAGUAGGAGAAUUCAACCAUACAUAAAAACCACCACUAUAGAAUAUAGAAUAUAAUUUUAUAUUUAAUUAAUUUUGCAUUUAAAUAAUAUAUGAUAAAGAUAUUACUUUUAUAUUUAAAUAAUAUAAGAUGGUAAUGAGAUAAAAAUGAAUGUUUUUAUGGUUAUAGGAAUAAAGAAAAAUAAAAUAAAAAAGAUUUCAAUUACUUAAUUAAUAGUAAUCCUAAUUUAAUUUCAAUUAAUAUUAAUCUUAUUUAUAUCUUUCCUUUCUUGAAUAUACCAUAAAAAGAUUUAAGUAGUAAAUAAAUACAUGGGUAGAAGGAUACAUCCAGUCAUGAGGUGUACCUAUAUAUUAAUUUUAUAUUUAAAUAUUAUAGAAUAUAAUUUUAUAUUUAAUUAAUUUUGCAUUUAAAUAAUAUAUGAUAAAGAUAUUAGUUUUAUAUUUAAAUAAUAUAAGAUGGUAAUAAGAUAAAAAUGAAUGUUUUAUGGUUAUAGGAAUAAAGAAAAAUAAAAUAAAAAAGAUUUCAAUUACUAAAUCAAUAGUAAUCCUAAUUUAAUUCCAAUUAAUAUUAAUAUUAUUUAUAUCUUUCCUUUCUUGAAUAUACCAUAAAAAGAUUUAAGUAGUAAUCUGGGAUAGAUAUUAAUUUUAUAUUUAAGAAAUAUAGGAUAUAAUGUAGAGAAUAGAGAUACACAAACAUAUUUUAUAUUUAAGUAGUAAUCUUCAUGAGCUUUACACAAACAAAAAACUUAGAUGUUUACAUCAUCUAGAAGCCCCACUUCGCCUCUCUCUCAGCCCUCAGCCCUCAGGCUUAAGAAGUUGUCAUGAGAAACCUAACACAAACCUUUCUUAUAAUUAUUGUUCAUAGUCGUAGCUACCAAGAAUUCCAAGUUAGGAAGAAAAAAAGAAUCAUAAAUACAGCAAAAAUAACUUCCACUACAUGCGGCAGCAGGGGUACCAAAUUAGGGAAAUUAAGAAGUAAACCAUGCCCAAUCAAUUGCUGGGAAAUAUUAUUUGGAUAUCAAAUUAGGGAAGCUAUUAAGUGUGGUUUUUGUAGUGUUAAAUCAGAGAGAAAUUUAAUUAUAUUAUGAAUUUCAAAUUUAAUUAUUCUAAGAACAAUGAAUUACUCUAAUAGAAUUUAAUGUAUAAAAACAUUUCAAACACUCGCAACAUAUAUCAUUUUCAUUUUUUCCAAAAGCACCAAAACCCUAUAACAAUGAAAAUAAACCCAAUAACAAUGGAAAUAAACCAAAUAACAAUGGAAUCUCAAACCUAAUCACAAACAUUUCCAAAAUACCAACUAACAAAACCCAAAAAAAAAAAAAAAUUCCCAAAACUCACCAAAACCUAGAGAGAUGAUUUUCACGGGAGUUUCUUGGAGGUGGCUUCAGCUUUACCGACCAUAGCUUCCAUGGGGCUUCUUCAGCAUGGCUUCCAUAAGCUUUUUUUGACAAUAGCUUCCUCCAAGCAAUGGGGGUUGUGGGUAGGUUUUGUGGGUUUUAUGGCCGUGGGUUUUGGAGAGGAAGAGAAAAUGGGUUGGCAGGAGAGAGAAAGAAAGGCUUUAUAUUCGAUUAGGAAAGUGAUGUGGCCGUGGGGUAUACCCACAUGGUUAAAAGAAAGACAUUUUUCCAUUAGAAAAAAAUGUCUCAUGGCUUUUUUUAUUGUUAUUGUUAUACCCAAAAAAAAUAAUUUAAUUUUAUUGUUAUACCCUAAAAUUUUUUUAUUGUUAUUGUUAUUGUUCUGUGUUCAGAACUAUUAAUUUAAAAAGUUUUUCAAGUUUUAAAAUUAUCAAAUUUUUAAAAUUUACAAUUAUUUUAAAAUUUUAAAUUUACAAUUAUUUUUAAAAUUUUAAAUUUAAAUUAAUUUUGAAAGUUCAAUGUUUUACUCAAAGUGUUAUUCUAAAAUUUUUAUUAAGUUUUAUCAAGUUUUUUAAGUUUUAAAAUUAUCAAGUUUAAAAUUUAAAAAUUUUAUAUAAAUACAAAGAAUAAUUAAAAAUAAAAUAUAACAUAUAAAUGUUAUUUUUUAAAACAUAUUUAAAAACAUAAAAAAUAUAUAUUAAGAAUAUUUUAGGUUUCUAAAUCAACUUUUAUUUUAAAAUACAUCGGCAAAAAAAUUUUUAAAAAUGUUUUAAAAAACCGUUUUUUGUAUAAUUGUUUAUGAAAAUGUCAAAAUACUUCACAAAUAAACCAGUUCGAGUCCCCUCAGGGCCUCGUGGGAUUAGUCGAGAUGUGCUUAAGCUGGUCCGGACAUCCACGGUUAUAAAUAAAAAAUAAAAAUAAAAAAAUAAAAAAUACUUCACAAAUAAAACUAUAAUUUAUUGGUAUUUUUGUGGGCCUUAGGUGUUAGGAAAUGUUAUAUGUGCAUCCUACUCCUACUCUGUCUUCAUUAUUUUCAGUCCCUUUAUAUCUUAUACCAAUCUACUAUUAUUUUAUCAUAUGGUAUCAGUUUUUCAUAUUUGAUGAUAUUAAUUUCUACCUUAUCCCAUAUGCUUGUAGCUUAAUUUCAUUAUACAUUUGGACAACAGAAUUUCAGACUUCCAUUUGGUACUAAAUAUAAUAAACAUAAACAGAGAAUGAUGCAUUUAAGAAUAUUUUUCCAUGAAUUUUAACUUUAUAAAUUUGUUAAUUUUACAAAUUUAAGAAUUAUAAAAGUUUAGAACUUUUAUUUUUAAUCAUAAACAGAGGAUGUUAUUUUUGUAGUUAUAAAUUGUUUUUGUAUUGCAAAAAUCAUAAAGAUUAAAUAAUAUUUUAUGAUUGAAAAUUAAAUAAAACUAUAAACAAUUUUACUAGUAAUUGUUCAUAGUAAAAUUUAGUUAUCAUGACUAUUGAUACUUUAAAUAUAAUAAGAAUUAUUUAUCAUAUAUAAAAUCAAAAUUGUUUUUUAAUUUGCUAACUCACUUGCAUUUAAACUUUUUAUCAAAUAAUAUCAAAUUGAACCAUCAUAUUUUUAAACUAAUUUAUUAAACUUUAUUUUGCUUCUUAUUAAAACAUUAAUUAUAACAAGGAAAUUAAAUAAUUUUAACUAAAGAAAAAUAGGUAACACACUAAUUUGUUUCUUAACUUAAAAAAAAAUAGUAAUAUAACUUUAAACUUUUUAUAAUUAAUAAGAACUAUUAUUAUUACUAUUAAUGAUAAUUUCUAUUUAUGAUAUAUAUAUAUAUAUAUAUAUAAGAUUUUCUAAAAAAUUAUAAUAGGUAACCCAAAAAUUGUUUAAAAUAAAUAAUAGACUUUGGUCACGAUUGUGUGAACCCCGUGGCCAUAGGUUCAAAAUAUUUAAAAAAAACUCUAUGCAUUGGUAAUGGUCAAGCGAAAUUUGUAACUACAGGUUCUUAUACAGUCACGGUCAAUCAAUGGCGUGACUAAAAGUCACGGUCAAUCAAUCACGUCACUCAAAGUCACAAAAUAUCUAUUUAGUGACGGUUUCACAAAAACCUGUGACUAAAACAUCUUUUUCAUUACACUUUUUGUCACGGAUGAUAAAAUAACCGUGACUAAAGUUAUUGGCGCCAAAAUUUCCCUCCAUAAAUUUACAAAUAGUCACAGUUUUAAAUAAAUCCGUGACUAAAAUACCUCUUAUUAAUCCUUUUGGUGACGGUUGAUAAAAUCACCGUGACUAAACAUGUUUUUUUUUUUUUCCAAAUUUGAUUUAACACAUAUAGUCACAACCUUACCCAAUAAUAUCUUUGGUGGGCCGUGACUAAAGAUUCGUCAUUAAAAAUCUAUUUUUUUGUAGUGCUAGUUGGUCCAUGCAAAAUUCUUGCCCCCGUACAUAGACCAUUCACAUAAAAACAAGUGGGUAAGAAUUCAAUGAAAACAUUAUUUGUUAAGCAAAAUUGGGAAAUUGAAAUCAAGUUCUUUUUCAUGGUGAGAACACAAGGGAUAUUAUUAAGUUGAAGUAGCUUUAAUGCAGUUGGGAGGGUGGUGGAUCCUGUGUGUGUGAUUUCUAGACCUUUACCAUCACCAAUAAUUAUGUCGUCUGGGCCAGCAUAGUCGGAAUGCAAAGAUAGAUUCUGAAGAUCAUUAGAUAUGUGGUGUGAGGCACCAAAAUCCAAGACCCAAUUUGGAGAGACAACAGUUGGUUGAGUUGUCGCAUGUGUUUGUGCAGAAGAGGGGCGGUAACUGUAAUUGGGUGGAACACCAUGAUGUUGACUGGCAAUAUAUCGAAAUGAUGGACAUCUUUUCGCUGAGUGUCCUUGAACACCACACAAUUGACAAGUCCCCUUAUAUGGAUGAGGGGUGUGAUUCGAAGUAUUCGAGGUAGUCAUUGGUUGAGGUUGUUUGGAUGUACGGUAUUGAGACGAAGAGUAAGGCUGUUGAUUGAAGAAUCGAUGCGAUUGUGGUUGUUUGGUAGCAGCAUUGGUGGAAGCAGGCAAUGAGACAUUCCAAGAAGAAUACUUGGCAGAUUCUCAUAAAGUUUGAGCCUCAAGAGGAAGCAAUUUCUCAUAAAGUUCCUCAAAGGAAAAACAGUUUCAUGGGCAUGGAUGGUUGAGUGUAAAUCUUUGUACAUCUCAGGCAAACCAUGAAAUAUUUGAAUAAUGAAGUCCUCAGGGUCUAUGGUGACGUUCAUGAGAUAGAGAACAUCAACGCAAAUUUUAACAAAUUGCAUAUACUGUGUUAUGGACUGAGUGCCUUUGGACAAGUUGUCGAGUUGAGUCCGAUAAUGAAUUAUUCGGCUUCGAGAUGCUUUAGCAUAGGUGUUGUGAAGUGUAGACCAAGCCUCAAGGGAGGUUGUGGCUGAUGCAAUGAAUGAGAAAAUUGUUGGACUAAGUGAUGAAACAAUAGCAUUAAGAAGAUGGUCUUGACGAAUCCAAUGGGUGUAAGCUGGGUUUGGGGUUGUAGUACCCUUUUCAGAAGUAAGAGUGCUAGAAGGACAUGGUAAAGUGCCAUUGACAUAUCCCAGUAAAUCAUAACCGACUAGGAGAGUGUAAAAUUGGAGUCUCCAUGCAGAAAAAUUGUGUUGAGUGAGUUUGAUGGGGGUUUGGGAAGAGGCGUUUAUGGCUAUGAGGUUUUGAGUAGUGUAUAUAGAGAUGUUGGCAGCAGUGUCGAUGGAGGAAACAAUUGAGGGGGAAGGGCUAGAGCCUUCGUUGGUUUAUGGGUUUGGUGAGGCAUGAGAAUCAACUAUGUGAGCUAUGGUUGCUCUGAUACCAUAAAGACGAUACAGGCUUUGAGAGUUAAAGAUUGUUCUUUCUAUAGAUCAAGGCAAGAAGUAUAUAUAUAGUAUACAACCUAGCGUUACAGACUUACCAAAUUAACUCCACAAUAAAGGGAACUAUACAUGGUUGGUUACCAAAACAAAUAUAGGAGAUUAGCUGUACAUAUUACUGAAAUAUAGAGACGAUCACGGAGGAUUUGAUAGAGAUUGAAGUUGACUUUCAAACGAACCAUUUUCCUUAUCAGGUACUAAUUCAAAGUUCUUGGGUGGUACUUGAAUUAUAUCCCCAACAUUGAUGAUAUAUGCAUCUAGGGUGGGCUUAACUCGAAUCCAUUCUCCAUCAGUUUUUUGCUUUACUUCCAACCCUCUGACAUCAUCCUGGGCAAGGAUGGUUAAGGCUUCGGCAUCCUUUUGGCAACGAACACCCAGAGCUAGGUGAGGGAUGGGGCAUGGUGGGUAGUGAUUGAGGCGGAUGAAGGUAGUUGAUUCUUCAAAGAAAAGAUUGAAUCUGUUUUCCGGCAAACCUAAGCUCAGAGAGAUGAGUCCCAACAUCUUGAAAGCUAGUUUUUCCAUUUCUCUAGCAUAUUCUUCACAUACCUCCCUGUAUAAAUUGGUUCAAUUAGAACCAAAAAACCAAGUAAAUCAUUGAAGUGACUCUGCCUUAGCUGGUGGAAUUUGUACCUUAAUUCAGGAGAGUACUGAGGCCACUGAUUGAUCAACUCUUUGAGCUCCUUGUCGUCAGGAUCAGGCGAAGCAGGGAUGAAGGCGGGGGAUGACACCACGAAAUCAAAGACUUCCUUCCAGUCCCUAACGUUCUUGGUAUGCUCAGUAUCAAAAUACCACAAAGGAUUCACCCCAUCUCUACUCACCUUCCUCUUCUCCUACAAUGGCAGAGCGAAGAACUUCCUCGCCGCAUCCUCAAUUUUCCGGCGAGACUCCGAGGGCAUCCCAUGGUUGAUGACUUGAAAGAAGCCUCGAUUCUUGGAUGCAUCAGCUAUUUGAGAAACAUGGUUAGAGGCAUUGGCGGAAGAGAGAUCAAUGAGUGGGAUGCCUUCAGCUUCGAUAACAACGAGCUUAGGCCCAUGUUGGGUGUCUUGGAUGAAGGCUGGAUCGACCUCUCCCAUGGCUGUGGUAGUGAUUAGAACCUAGAAAUGGUGGUUAUGCACUGGUAGCUGCAGGUUGAGAUUGUGAAGGGGACUUGGGCCACUUGGCAGGUGAUUUUUGUAGUGUAGUGGGGUUGGUUUGGUUCAUUGAACCUUGACAUAAUGACAUAAAUGGGAUACGUUUUAUAAGUUCAAGGAAUCAUGGUAUUUGGAAAAUAUGAAUGAGUUGAAAAUUUUAAAAAAUAGGUUUAUAGGAGUAUAUUUUAAGGAAAAUAAUUUUCAAAUCAUAUCAUGUAUAGGAUAGUGACUUUGUACAUGUUUGAGGGGAAUCAUGUCAAAGUGCACUAUUUGAAAAACAUGGCUAAAUUGUAAACUUAAAAAAGUGGUUUCAUGGAGAGUACAUUAUGAGAAAAAUAAUUUCCAAAUCAUGUACUAAAAUAAUAACUGUAUCCAUGCUUCCAAAACUACUAUUCAACAUAUUUUCAUCAUGUCACAUUUUCCUAUGACGUCAUUGCCCUCAUUUCUUAGAAGAAAAACCCUUUCUGUUCUACUUUACUUUACACUGUUUGUUCCUAUAACCCUUUCCUUUUUUUAAUUUUAAUUUUUUUAAAAAAAUAUUUCUCAUCUAUUUUCUCGAUUUUUAAAAUUCUAUUUAAUUAAAAAAAUUAGAAUUUUUUUUAAAGUACAAUUCAUUUAUUUAUUUUUUCAUUUUAUUUAAAUGUGAUGUAUAAUUAAUACAUUAACAUAAAUUAGUUUUUAAUAUAAAAAUAUAUUCAUCUAUAAUAAUUAAAAAUCUAAUAAAUAAAUAAAUAAAUAAAUAUUAGUAUUUUAAAUAAUAUUGAUUUCGUAUAUACAAUAUUUUAUUUUGUUUCAUUAUUAUAGAUCUCAUUUUCUAUAUUUUUUAUUUCUAAUUUUUCUUAUAGAAUUUUAAACCUAGAUUUUUUAAAAAUGAAAUUUAAAAAAACACUAGAAAUUAAAGUUUUUGUUUUCUUCAAAAUAAAAACAAAAAAAAAAUAAUAUACAAAAAAAAAAUAUUAGUUUACCUUUAAUUUCAUUCAACAAAAAAUUAGUAAUGAUAAUUUUUUAAGAGUAUUUAAUUUUAAAAGUAAUAUUUGAAGAUAGGUAAAAUAAAAAUUUUAAAAGUGUUUGUAUUAAAAUUUUGAAUAUAAAUUCACAACUCCCAUCAUAAUACAUUGAUAUUUAAAAUAAAAAAAACCCCUAAUGAUUUUUUUUUAUUAUAUUAAACAUGUAAAAAAAGUACAUUUUUGUUUAAUUAAAAAUUUAAACCAUUAAAAUUGUUUUUUUCUUUAAUAAAUAAUGUUUUUAAAGAGUACAUUAUACCUAUUUUUUUGGGCAUGUUAUUUAAUAAUUGCUACCAAAGUCAUAACAAUGACAAUAAAAAACUAAAUAUAAUAGUGCAUAUUUGCUAUCUAUAGUGGUACUUUUAGUUACUAACAUUAUUAUUUUUAAGUAAAAAUAAUGUUAUUAUUUCCUGACAUAUUUGAUGUAGAGGUUGAAGUGAUGACAGUGCUAAAUAAGUUAGUACAUCCUAUUAUCUACAGUGAUAUUUUUAGUUACUAUUAUUAUUAUUUUUAGGUAAAGACAAUGUUACUAUCUCUAGUGAUACAUUUGAUGUAUGGAUUGGAGUGGUGAUAGAUGAUGUAACAACUGUGUAUAUGGGGUCAAUCAAGUGUAAUUGUCCUCUUAUUUGUAUAGAUCGCAACCCACCUCCGACAGUGGUUGAAAAGUAGUCUUGGAAGCAUAUCACCAAAGGGACAUUUUGAAUAAUAAUUUGGGAAAAAGCGUUCAUCAGACAUAGCCUAAAAAGUAUAUCCCAACAUUGCUGUUUAUUUAUCAAGCAAAUUACAUUAUUAUUGUCACACCAAACCUCCAAAUUCAACAUGUACUUAGCCUAUAUACUGGAUGGUGAACGGGCUAAAACAAGCUCUUACUGAUUACAGAUAGAUACUGUCCUACUGACACUUUUACUCUGAUACCUUGAAAUGAGAAAUUUGGAGGUUUUCCACAUCAAGCUUCUUGAAAUUGCUGCGCCUUCUCGCAGAAAAGAACUUUCCCCAGUUGUAUGCUCUGUAAUUUUGCUUUUCCCCCUUCGUCAGCUCCUCCAAGGGCUUCACCCAAACAUGCUGCCCGGGAUUGAAAGAGAACGGAAUCGAAAACCUUUCCCUCUCUGAAUUCACAGUCACCCUGUGCUCCACACUUUCAUAAGUAUCAUUGCUCCAGGCCUGGUUUAAUAUCAGUAUAAUUAGCCAAAUGGGUGUAACUGAGCCAAACAGUACUGAUAAGCAUGUACUUAUAAUUCGAAGUUCUUGGGUGGUACCUGAAUUAUAUCCCCAACAUUGAUGAUAUAAGCAUCUGGGGUGGGCUUAACUCGAAUCCAUUCUCCAUCGGUUUUUCGCUUUACUUCCAACCCUCCGACAUCAUCCUGAGCAAGGAUGGUUAAGGCUCCGCCAUCCUUGUGGCGACCAACGCCCAGAGCUAGGUGAGGGAUGGGGCAAGGUGGGUAGUGUUUGAGGCGGAUGAAGUUCGUUGAUUCUUCAAAGAAAAGAUUGAAUCUGUUUUCCGGCAAACCUAAACUCAACGAGAUGAGUCCCAAUAGCUUGAAAGCUAAUUUUUCCAUUUCUCUAGCAUACUCUUCACAUACCUCCCUAUAUAAAUCAGUUCAAUUAGAACAAAAAAGAUAAGUAAUUCACUGUAGUUAUUGUGCCUUAGCUGGUGAAAUUUGUACCUUAAUUCAGGAGGGUACUGAGGCCACUGAUUGGUCAGCUCUUUGAGCUCCUUGUCGUCAGGAUCAGGCGAAACAGGGAUCACGGUGGGGGUUGACACCACGAAAUCAAAGACUUCCUUCCAGUCCCUAACGUUCUUGGUAAGCUCCGAAUCAAAAUACCCCAAAGGAUUCACCUCAUCUCUACUCACCUUCCUCUUCUCCUCCAAUGGCAGAGCGAAGAAUUUCCUCGCCGCACCCUCAAUUUUCCGGCGAGACUCCGAGGGCACCCCAUGGUUGAUGACUUGAAAGAAGCCCCAAUUCUUGGAUGCGUCAGCUAUUUGAGAAACAUGGUUGGAAGCAUUGGCGGAAGAGAGAUCAAUGAGGGGGAUGCCUUCAGCUUCGAUAACAGCGAGCUUAGGCCUAUGUUGGGUGUCUUGGAUGAAGGCUGGAUCGACCUCUCCCAUGGCUGUGGUAGUGGUUGGAAGUUAGAAAUGGGGGUUAAGCACUGGUGGCAGCAGGUGUAGAUGGUGACGGGAAAUUGGGCCACACGGCAGGUGGUUUUUGUAGUGUGGUGGGGUUGGUUUAGUACAUUGAACCUGGGCAUAAUUUGGGUUACUUUUUAAGGUUUGGUUGAGGGUGUGACCUCAUGGAUUGCGCAUAUAUUAAUGAUAAUUGGUCAAGUGAUACUGCAGUCCCAAAGGGAAUCUCUCUCAAUGAUUUUGCCGACAGCUCCCUCCACAUUAAAAUGUUUCAUCCGUAUUUGAAUUGGAGUCUAAUGCUCUGAUCAAAGAUACCUUUCGCUUAGUCGAUCAGUGUUUGAUUACUAAAUAAGAUGGUGUCACAAAUAUUUUUGAAUUCUAGGUCAAAGUUAACGAGUGCAAAGGUUAUCAAUUUGAUAAGAUAAAUUGUUUAGAAACACUUUUAAAAAUGAUUCUUGAAAAAAUAUUUUUUUAAGUUUAAAAACCAUUUUUAAAUUUAGAAUAAAGGUUUAUUUAAAAACUUAUAUUAUUAUAAACUUAUUUUUUAUAUUUUUAAAAAAUAAUUUUUAUAUAUAAUAUUUUAUUUUCAAUCAUUUUUUACAUUUUUUUUAAAAAGGUAAAACUACUAAAAAAAAUACUUAAAAUAAGUUAUCAACAAAUGUCUUAUUGUCAUGACAAUUUUCAAAAACAUGUUUUAGAAACAAUUGAAAAUCAAAGUAUUUUCAUAUUCCUUUAUUCCCAAAAACAAAAAAUUAUUCUUGGUAACGGUUCCAAAUGUAUCCUUCAUUUGUUUAUCUUAUUAUAUAAGUUUUAAAAUAAAAUACAAAAAAUAAUUUUCAAUGAUAAUUUGUUACGGUUUUAUCCAAAAUUUUUAUAUUUUUAAUCAAUUAAUUUAUUGAUACGUAUAUUUCUCAUGAGACCUUUUUCUCACUAAAAACAUUACUUUUUUAUAAGACAUUUUUAAUAAAUUAAUUUUGAUACGUAGAUUAAAAAUGUCUUAUAACAAUAUAAAUUAAUUAAAUCAUUAGUUGGCCAUUUGGUCUCAUGCUUACACAACGACUUCUCUCAUGGCUGCCUAACAUGAAUGAACAACUCUCUACAACAAGUAAGGUACACUUAAUUAAAAAAUUAUUUAAUUUAAAGAUGUUCGAGAAUGAGAAUUUCAAGUAGCACUUGAAUGAAUUUAAUGAGACCACAAAUUAAUUAAAUUCGAUGGUUAUUAAAUUUGAUGAUAAGAUUCAAGCCUUAUUAAUCCUCGGUUAAUUGCUUGAGAGUUGGAAAGACACAAUCACCUCAAUCAAUAGUUCAUCCAAAAAAUCAAAAUUGGUGUUUUCGAAUGUAGUAGACAUGAUUAUAACCGAGGAGAUCAAGAAGCAUGAAGAAGGUUUUUCAAAUUCAUGAUCAACAUUAAAUAUGGAGAGCAAAGCUAGAAAUCAUAAUAAAGGUAAUAGGCGUGAUAAAUCCAAAUCGAGGAAUGAUAGGUUGAAAUACAAAAAUUCCAUAAAUUCCUAACAUCAGACGAGUAAGAACAAUAUCAAAUGUUGGAAUUGUGAUUGGAGCUAAAAUAUGUGCUCAAAUGACAUAUAUUUGAUAUGAUUUAUAUAUCAUAAGACACUCAAAUCAUCUGACUCUACCCAAAUUGAUACUAAGGUCCUAGCCAUGAGUUUAACUUGUAUUUUGGAGAUUUAUCUCAGGUUUAAGAAAAGAAAAUGGUGUAAGGUGAAUCAAUUUAGAUUUUGAAAGAAUAAGAAGGGGUUAAAUGAGAAAAUGAACAAGUCAAGACUCAUGAAAUAUGAAGAAAGGAAAGACGAGGAUAUCGUGAGUUUGGGAGAUGAGGAAUGACCAUUAUCAUGAAGUAAGAAAUAAGGCAUACAAACAUAGAAAAUGAGGCAUGAAACAAAAUUCAUCAAGUUUGCAUGGAAAUUUGGGACUCAAAAUCUGGUAAUAACAUAUACUCUGACUUUAAAAUGAAAUUUGGAGCAUUUCCCAAAGUCCAUUUUAGGCAAGCUAUAUAUUGUUUUGAAGCAUGGGAAGUUAGGAAUUCAAAGCUUCAAACAAUGUCCAAAUUAGAGCUAAAUAAGGAAGUUAUGCACAUUUAAAGCAAACUAGUUAGAGAGAAAAACUGAGUUCGAAAUUGGUCACUUGGAUUUGAAAUGGUUUUUGUCCAUUUAAAACUCAAAGAAAUGAAAGAAAACUUUUGGCAUUGGCUAAGUUUGAAUCUCUUUACCUAUUUCAAACAAGAGGCAUACAUUUCAAAGUCAAAUGAACAUACAUGGGCAGUGAGUGAGUUCAAAAUUCACUAUGAAUUUUGAACUCACCUUGUUGAUUUCAAAUUGGACCAUUUAUUUCCCACUUAUGAGUUCAAAAUUGAUUUGAACUCACCCAAAUUUCGAACUCAACCAUUAGUGACCGAUUUUAGGCUCUGAGACAUGUCAAAACGAGUUUCAAAUGCCUUUAUCCAAUUCAAAACGCAUCAUACUCAUUUAGAACUCGUAAUUUUUGGGGUUUUUUUUAAAGGUUAUUUAUGACUUUUCGUUACAAUAAGUGGCCAAUGAGAGUGUACCACAUGUUAGGUCAUUGAAGUUACUAUAAAAACUCUUUUAGUUAUAGUGUUUAGGUGAUCUUCCAAGAGUUAGACAUUUCGUGGGGAAGAAUACGAGAACUUUUGGUUUAUUUAUUUUCUUCUUUAUUGAAUGUAUUGUUUUUAGUUUCCUUUAUUUCAAAUUAUGAAUUUUUACUUUAUUAUGGAUUGUGAAUGUGACAUUACCCCCAUGAGAGGAUAAAAAGCUAACUUGGGGCUUAAACAUAAAAACUAACGGUUAGAAAACUUAUAGGGACAUUAGGUAAAUUAUUAUAACAAUAAGAUUAAUUAAUGGUUGAGUUACAAUUUAUUAAUUUUUUAUCCUAUCAUUGUGAGUUAGUUUAGAGAAUAAUAUAGUAGGUGAUUAUUCGAUACUAGUGAUUCUUGGUAACUCUUGAUCAUUAGUAAUCCUGAUUUUUCUUAUAGUUAUCUGCCCCAAAACGAAGUUAGAAGGAGUAGGAAAUGUUAAAAAGCCAAACCUUAAAUUGAUAAUAAUUUCAUUCAUUUGAUGUGUUGACAAAUCAGAGGGUUGGCUGCAUCCAUCAACUCUCUUUGUGUUCGCCGUGAGCACUUGGGUGAAUGCACUAUAAGGUUAGAGUAUGCACAUUUCUUAACAGCAAUUGCUUUUAGGAGAAUUGGUAGUGCCUGAGGUCCUACAUGAUAGUUUUAAGAACUUGUUUUAAAAAGAAAAAUUAAGUUUUAGAUGUACUUUUGAGUUAUAGGGCUCAAGUUGAUUGCAAGCGGCCAAGAAUCCCAAAACCCUAAGAUCACUCUAGUUAAGAAACCUUUGUUAUCUCUAUUUCUAUACCUUAAGUUAUAUUGUGGAAAACCUCAAACUUAAAUCAAUUAAAUUAAAAAUCAAUAUUCGUUUUGUUAUUAAUUUAGUUUUUUUUUUUUUUUACUUAGUUUCACUUCAUAAAAGUUAAUUCACAUAUUGUUUUUCGCUUUAGGAUUUAAAUAAAAACAAUUCAUUUAUCCUAGUAUUGAAAAAUUCCAUAUGUUAGUCCCUAAGGAUGAUACCCAAAGAAUUACAAAAACCAUAGUGACUAUUUCUCUAGUUUUUUCUUAACCAAAGUUACUAUGUAAAAAGGCUUAGUAUUUUACAUAAGAGAGAAGAUUGAUCAAAUUGUGGAAAGAAGAGACAUUAUAAAAAUGAGUGUAAGGCUGCCAAGAAGGAUAAGGAUGGUGACAACAAGACCAAUGCAAAUGUUGUGUCAAAAGAAUUAGAUGAUGCUCUUAUCUGCUAUUUAGAGAGAACAACAUAAUCGUGGGUAUUAGAUUCAGGGGCAUCGUUCCAUGCUACCUCAAGUGGAGAAUUAUUUGAGAAUUAUGUCUCAGGUAAUCUAGGGAAGAAGUAUCUAGGUGAUGACCAAGCAUGUGUUGUUAUUGGCAUAAGUGAAGUGCAUAUCAAAUAUUUGAAUGGAUUUGUAUGGAAUUUGGACAAUGUGAGGCACAUUUCAAACCUGAGAGAUAAUUUUAUUUCCAUUGGGUAGUUAACAAAAGAUAGUUAUGUGACAACUUUUUUAGGUGACACAUGGAAUAUCUCAAAGGGAGCUAUUUGCCAUGGCAAGAAGAAUGAUACUCUUUACAUGACAAUGAAUGGUUGUGGGUUUAUUACAAUUGUUGAGAGCAAAGAAGAUUCGAAUUUAUGGCAUUAAAGGCUUGGUCACAUGAGCAAUGAGGGGUUGGAAAUUAUACACUCAAAUGGGAAGUUGUCAAGUUUGAAAUAAGUUGACAUUGACAUGUGUGAAAAUUGCAUACUUGGGAAACAAAGAAGGGUUAGCUUUAAGAAAGUUGGAAAAACUCCAAAAGAAGUAAAACUGAAGUUAGUUUAUACAAAUGUUUGGGGACUUGCUUCAAUUUCAUCUAUCGGUAGAAGAUUUUUUUUUGUGACCUUCAUUGAUGAUCAUUUGAGGAAAGUGUGGGUAUACUUUAUGAUACACAAAUGAGAAGUGUUUGAUGUAUUCAAGAGACGGAAAACAAUGGUGGAGAAUAAGACAUGUAUGAGAGUCAAGAAGUUACGGUUUGAUAAUGGUAGGGAGGAUGAAGAAUUUGAGUUCAAGAAGAUCUAUUAUGAAAAUGGAAUUAAAUUAGAGAAGACCGUGCCAAGGACACCUUACCAGAAUGGUAUAGCAUAAUGAAUGAACAAGACAUUGACUGAAAGAGAAAAAAAACGUGUAUACAAGCAAGGUUGUCAAAGGAGUUCUUGGCAAAAGCAAUCAACAAAACAACUUACUUGAUCACAAAAUACUGGAAAAAGUGUGAACUAAAAAAAAGGUAAAGUUUUCUCAUUUGAGGGUAUUUGGUUGUGUAUCAUAUAUAUAUAUAUAUAUGUGUGUGUGUGUGUGUGUGUGUGUGUGUGUGUGUGUGUGUGUGUGUGUAUACAUAUUAGUGAUCAUGACAUAAACAUACUUGAUGCUAAAUCACUAAAAUGUACUUUCUUAGCUAUGGUGUUGAUAAUUUUGGUUAUUAGUUUUGGGAUGACCAGAGUAAGAAAGUGAUUAGAAGUAAGGAUGUCGAUUAGAAGUAAGGAUGUCAUAUUUAAUGAGAAAGUUUUGUAUAUGUAGAGAGAUGCAACACAUUCCAAUAGUCUGGUACAACUUGAACCUAUUUACUUUGAGCCAAAUGAUGUCCCAUUGAAUAACAUGACAAAUAAGACAGGUCAUAAUCAUUAGAUUGAGGAAAAUACUGCAUAAGAUGUUAAUAUAUCACAAGAUCUAGUUUCAAUUCCUACUUUGAGGAGAUCUAACAAGCCACAUGUACCAAAUAGGAAGUAUUUAAAUUAUUUGCUACUAAUAGAUGGAGGUGAACCUAAAUGUUAUGAUGAGGCAUGUCAGAUGGAAGAUAAUAGAAAGUGGGAGCUUACGAUGAAAAAUGAAAUGAAGUCCCUUAUUCUUAACCAGACUUGGAAGCUAGUCGAGUUACCAAUGGGUAAGAAAGUUUUUCAUAAUAAGUGGGUGUAUUAAAUUAAGUAGGAGCAUGGUGGUUCUAAGAGAUAUAAGGCUAGAUUGGUGGUCAAAGGGUUUCAAUAGAAGAAAAAUGAUUGACUAUACAUACAUUUUCUCUCUAGUUGUGAAACUAACUAUUAUUCAAUAUGUUUUGAGUAUUGUAGCAAUAAAGAGUUUACAUAUAGAACGGUUAGAUGUGAAGAUAGCUUUCCUCUAUGGUGAUUUUGAUGGGGAAAUUAGUAUAUAUGCAACAACUAGAGGGUUUUGUAGUGAAGGGUAAAGAGAAUCUGGUGUGCAAAUUAACUAACAGUCUGUAUGAUUUAAAACAAGCCCCAAGACAAUGGUAUAGAAUAUUUGGUAGUUUCAUGCAAAAGAAUAGGCAUCUCAAGUGCAAUGCAGACCAUUGUUGUUACUUUAAGAGAGUUGGUUCUAUCUAUAUUAUUUUGUUACUUUAUGUUGAUGGCAUGUUAGUAGUUGACGCAAAUCUAGAUGAAAUUAACAAGUUGAAGAAAUAGUUGUCUAGUGAAUUUGAAAUGAAGGACUUGGGAGCAACAAAGUAGGUACUUGGGAUGAAGAUUAGCAAAGACAAAUAAACGAGCAUCUUAUGGUUAUCUUAGGCUAAGUAUAUAUACUCAUAAAGUAUUGCAAAUAUUCGACAUGAGUAAUGUAAGGCAAUUAGAACAUCAUUAGCAAAUCAUUUCAGGUUGUCUAAUUAAGCAUUGCCCAUGGGCAGAUGAGGAAAAAGACUUCAUGGCUAAGGUUUCAUAUGCCUUAGCCAUUGGAAGUUUGAUGUAUGUUAUGAUAUGCACGACACUAGACAUUGCCUAUGCAGUGGAAGUUGUGAGCAAAUUUAUGUCAAAUCUAAGUAAGUAGCAUUAUGAAGUAGUGAAAUGGAUGCUUAGGUACUUACAGGGUACUACAAAAAAAUGUCUAUGUUUCGAAAGGGGUGAGUUAAAAUUGCAAGGAUAUGUGGAUGUUGAUUUUGCCAAUGAGAUAGAUAAUUGGAAAAGUACUACAUGGUAUGUGCUCACUUUGGGUACUAUUGCUAUUAGUUUGAUUUCUCAAUUGUAGAAGAUUGUUAUUUUAUCUACAAUUGAAGUAAAAUAUGUGGCUAUCACAGAAGCUAGAAAAGAAAUGAUUUGGCUAUAGAGUUUGUUAGCAAAGUUAGGAUUCAAAUAAGAUAUGAAUGUUUUGCAUAGUAAUGGCCAAAGUGCAAUACAUUUGGCUAAGUAUUCAACAUUUCAUUCAAGAACUAAUUAUAUUACACUUCAUUAUCACUCCAUCAGGUUUUUGCUUGAAGAUAGGGUGUUAACAUUUGUGAAGAUACAAGGUAGCAAGAAUCCGGUUAACAUGUUAACUAAAAUAGUGAUAAUAGAAAAAUUGGAGUUGUGUGCAACUUCAAUUGGUCAAUAAUGAGAAUAGGUUGUUUGAGUGCACCCUCAUACCCAUUAAUCAUUGAAAGAGAAUGUUUACUUGUGUUUUAGUCUUCAAGUGGAAGAUUGUUGGAUUGUGAAGCUUGAAUCAGUUUUAUUAUGCCCCGAUCAACUUGUAGGGAUUGAAGGGCGCAAUGCUCUAUGGAGAAUUUAUUUAUUUAUUUUUAUGUAAUGAUUGACAGGUUUAAUCUUAUUAUAUAUUUUAACCCUUUUAUGUUUUAAGGUUUUGUUUUUUAAUGUGUAGUUGCAAUUGAGAGGUUUUUUGAGAGCUUUGCUAUUCCACUCCUUCUCAUCCCUUUUAUAGUGAAUUGUUGUAUGUUGGUGUACUCCAUUGAUGUAGGGAUCAAAUUGAUCGUAAAACCAUUUUUUUUUUUUUUUUGUUUCUAUUUAUACAUGAGUGUGUGCGUGAUUUGGUUAACAUCAGUUAUCUUAAUAAUUCUAUUCCUGGAAUAGGAAGAAAAUGAUGAUUCCAUUAAUGUAGCAUGCAUUGCUGCUUAUUUAUCAAGCAAAUUACAUUAUUAUUACACCAAACCUCCAAAUUCACCACGUACGUAUCGUAUAUACCGCAUGAUAAGAUUUAGAGAGGUAAAACAAGCGCUUAUUGUUUACGGAUAGAUAAUGUCCCACCGACCUUUUACUCUGAUACCUUGAAAUGAGAAAUUUGGAGGUUUUCCACACCAAGCUUCUUGAGAUUACCGCGCUUUCUCGUAGCGAAGAACUUUCCCCAGUUGUAUGCUCUAUACUUUGGUUUUUCCCCCUUCGUCAGCUCCUCCAAGGGCUGCACCCAAAGAUGGUGCGCGGGAUUGAAAAAGAACGGAAUCGAGAACCUUUCCCUCUCUGAAUUCAGUAUCACUCUGUGCUCCACACUCUCAUAAGUUUCGUUGCUCCAAACCUGGUUUAAUAUCAGUAUAAUUAGCCAAAUAGGUGCAAAAUUCGGUGAGCGAAAUAACUGAUAAGCAGGUGCUUAUAAUUCAAAGUUCUUGGGUGGUACCUGAAUUAUAUCCCCAACAUUGAUGAUUUAAGCAUCUGGGGUGGGCUUCACUCGAACCCAUUCUCCGUCGGUUUUUCGCUUUACUUCCAACCCUCCGACAUCAUCCUGGGCAAGGAUGGUUAAGGCUCCGGCAUCCUUGUGGUGACCAACGCCCAGAGCUAGGUGAGGGACAGGGCAAGGUGGGUAGUGAUUGAAGCGGACGAAGCUCGUUGAUUCUUCAAAGAAAAGAUUGAAUCUGUUUUCUGGCAAACCUAAGCUCAGAGAGAUGAGUCCCAUCAGCUUGAAAGCUAGUUUUUCCGUUUCUCUCGCAUAUUCUUCACAGACCUCCCUGUAUAAAUCAGUUCAAUUAGAACAAAACAAACUAAGUAAUUUACUGUAGUGACUGUGCCUUAGCUGGUGAAAUUUGUACCUUAAUUCAGGAGGGUACUGAGGCCACCGAUUGGUCAGCUCUAUGAGCUCCUUGUCCUCAGGAUCAUCCGAAGCAGGGCCGAAGGCGGGGGUUCUCACCACGAAAUCAAAGACUUCUUUCCAGUCCCUAACGUUCUUGGUAUGCUCAGUAUCAAAGUACCCAAAAGGAUUCACCUCAUCUCUACUCACCUUCCUCUUCUCCUCCACUGGCAGAGCGAAGAACGUCCUCGCGGCAUCCCAAAUUUUCCGGCGAGACUCCAAGGGCACCCCAUGGUUGAUGACUUGAAAAAAGCCCCAGUUCUUGCAUGCAUCAGCUAUUUGAGAAACAUGAUUGGAAGCAUUGGCGGAAGAGAGAUCAAUGAGGGGGAUGCCUUCAGCUUCGAUAACAGCGAGCUUAGGCCUAUGUUGGGCGUCUUGGAUGAAGGCUGGAUUGACCUCUCCCAUGGCUGUGGUAGUGAUUAGAACUUAGAAAUGGCAAUUAUGCUCUGGUAGCUGCAGGUGAAGAUGGUUACAGGACUUGGGCAACUCGGCAGGUGGUUUUUAUAGCAUAAUAGGGGUGUUGGUUUAAUACCUUGAACCUGGACAUAAUAUGGGUUACGUGUUAAGUUUUAGUUCGGGGUGUGAGCUCAUGGGUUGCGCAUAUGUUAAUGAGAUUUGGUCAAGUGAUACCUAGCUAUUUCCACGGCACCCUCAAUAUUCAAAUAUUUCAUCCGUACUCGAUUUGGAAGGUUGAUUAGUAAAUCUGAUGGUGUAAUGUCUAUUUUUGAAUUCAAUGCUAUAUAUUUAACGGUGAAGAUAAGAAAAAUAGAAGAGUUGAUAACGUUGAAGAAAAAAUGCCAAAGUUUUAAGAAGGUAGAGUUUUGAUGAGAAAUAGGUAAAAUUAAAAUUGCAUUAUAAUAAUAUAAAUUAAUUAAAUCGGUAAUCACCCAUUUAAUCUCAUUCUUAUCCACAAUUGUUGAUAGUUGAUCCUACAAAAUUCUAAAAAAAUCUUCCACAAAGACAAAUCACAAGAUGUUCAAUAACAUAUAUGCUUUUGCACCAAAAAUUGUAUAAGGGAAAAAAAAAUGAUGCACAAAAAAAAAAAAAAAAAAAUUCUAUAUCUAAUAUUAUUUCAUAGGAAAACUAACUAUAAUAAAUUUUAAAAGCAAAGAGCGUUUUACCAUAUCUAAAUAAUAGAUUAUUAAAUUCUUUAUUUUUCAAUUGGAUAUUUUUUUUUAAAUUAGAAACAUCUAUAUAAAAAUAAAAAUCACUUUAAAAAAAUUUUAAAUUUAAGAUAAUAAAUUUUUUAUAAUAUUUUAAUUCUUUUAAAUAAUUUUUAAAAUUAUUAUUUUUUCAAUAUAAAAUUUUAAGAGUUUUUGUAUUUUAUAUAUAAGUUACUAAUAUUCUCUUAUUUUAAACAUAGAAAAUAAAAAAUGUAACCAAAUGAAUUAGAAAAUAAAAAAGUUGAAUAAAAAUAGUCUAACCAUCUUAAACCUAAUAAUGUUUGACAGAAAACACUUAAAUAUACCUUGUAAUUUUCCUCACUGGUCAGCUCCUCCGAAGGCUUCACAUUCACAUGGUGCGCCAGUAAGAAGAAGAAUGGAAUCGAAACCCUUUCCUUCUUGUGUCGACCCACACUGAGAGCGAGCUCCAGCCACGAGCACGAUGGAUGGUGAUUGAGUCGGAUGAAGCAUUAGCCUUCAAAGAAUUCAUUCAACCGAUCCCCCACCAAGCCUAAGCUUAAGGAGAUGAGUUCCAAGAACUUGUAAGCUAAUUUUUCUAUUUCUCUAAUAUAGUUUUUCCAAAUUUUCCUGAAAAUAAAUCAUUAUAUAAAAUAUAUCAAUACUCAAAAUAAAUUUAAUAAAAUCUUGUCUUGCCUUUAUGUCUCUAGUUGAGUCUGUUUGGCUUCAAGCUGUGCAUUUAUGUCUCCGGUUGAGUUUGUUAGGCUUUGAGUCGCACCUUUACACCUCUAGUUGAAUAUGUUCGACUUUGAGCCAUGCCUUUACGUUUUGAGUUGAGUCUAUUCGGCUUUGAGCCACGCCUUUACAUUUUAGUUGAAUCUGUUCGAUUUCAAGCCGUGCAUUUACAUCUAUAAUUGAGUCUAUUCAGCUUCAAAUUGCAUCUUCACAUUUUUUGUUGAAUCUGUUCAGCUUCAAGCCACUCCUUUAUGUCUCUAAUUAAAUUUGUUUGGCUUUAAGUUUCACCUUUAUGCCUUUAAUUGAGUUUGUUCGGCUUUUAGUUGCGCUUUUACGUUUUGAGUUGAGACUAUUUGGCAUCGAGUUGCAACUUUAUGUUUCAAGUUGAAUUUGUUUAGCUUCAAAUCGUGCCUUUACAUCUCUAGUUGAGUUUGUUCGACUUCAAGUCAUGCCUUUAAGUCUCUAGUUGAGUUUUUUUAGCUUUGAGCUGCGCCUCUACAUCUCUAGUUGAAUUUGUUUGGCUUCGUAUCACAUCUUAUGUUUCGAAUUGAGUUUAUUCGACUUCGAGUUGUGCCUUUAUGUUUCUAGUUGAGUCUAUUCAGCUUCAAGCUGCACCUUUACUUUUUGAAUUGAGUUUGUUCGGCUAUGAGCAAUGCUUUUACAUUUCAAGUUAAGUCUGUUUGGCUUUGAGUUAAGCCUUUACGUCUCUAGUUAAGUCUAUUCAACUUCGAGCCGCAUCUUUCAUUUUUGAGUUGAGUGUGUUUGGCUUUGAACCACACCUCUAUGUUUCAAAUUAAGUCUAUUCAUCUUCAAGUCGCACUUUUAUGUCUUUAGUUAAGUUUGUUCAGCUUCGAGCAAUGCCUUUAGGUUUGAAGUUGAGCCUAUUUGACUUCAAGCCACACCUUUACAUCUCUAGUAGAGUUUGUUUGGCUUCAAGCUAUGCCUUUUUGUUUCGAGUUUAGUCUGUUCAGUUUUGAGCCAUGCCCUUACGUUUCAAGUUAAGCCUAUCCGGCUUCAAGUCGCGUCUUUACAUUUUGAGUUAAGACUAUUCGACUUCAAGCUAUGUCUUUACAUCUUUAGUUGAGUUUGUUCAACUUCAAGCUACGCCUUUACGUUUUGAGUUAAGUCUAUUCGGUUUCAAGUUGUGUCUUUAUGUUUUGAGUUGAGUCUGUUUGGCUUUAAGUCACACUUUUACGUUUUGAGUUGAGUCUCUUCAACUUUGAACUACACCUUUAUAUAUCCAGUUGAGUCUGUUCGAAUUUGAGUCACACCUUUGAGUUUUGAGUUUAGUCUGUUCGGCUUUGAGCCACACUUUUACAUCUCUUGUUGAGUCAUAUUUAGCUUCAUUCUACGCCUUUACAUUUCCAAUUGAGUUUAUUUAGCUUUGAGUUGUGCCUAUGUUUUAAAGUUUGUUCAAUUUCGAGCCACAUCUUUAGCCUUAUUAAGUUUGUUCAAGUUUAGUUGUGCCCUCACCCAUAUCCUUAGUUUUAAGUUUAUUCAGCUUCAAGCCAUGCGUUUGUCCUUGUUAAGUAAGUUCGGCUUCGAGCCACGUCUUAGUUUUGAAGUUGUUUAUCCUUGAGCCACACCUUCCUUUCUUUUUUAGUUCACUUAGGGUUUUCUCCUUCCUCGAGUUUAUUAGUGCAUUCGAGUUCAUUUUUCUUUAAGUUGAUCACUCUUUAUCUUUGUUGUCCUUGAAUUGUUCAUUGUGUCACAAUUCAGUGUUUUUCAUUGCAUAUAUACUCCCCACAUUGUCUAUAUUUUAUCCUGAUGAGUUUCUUUCCCAAUACGUGACCUCGAUCUUUGAGUUUAGCAUGCCAUGUGCUAAGACAAUUUCGAGUGCUCUUUUGUUCUUCAAUGCAAUUCACUUCAUACCAUUCAUCACUCAUGUUUCACUGUUUGUGUUCAUUUCAUUCGUGAUCUACAUCGGAGAGAGACAUAUUUGUUGGCCCUUUACUUUGUCCUAUAAUACAUAUUUUCACAUUUUUUUAUUUUCCUCUUGCCCCAUACUCAUUUUUGGUGCUCGUUUUGGAUCCUUCUUGUUUGAUCAUUCAUGGUCCCUUAUUGGUCCACGUUUACUUGACUCAUUAUUCAUUUUUUAGUCGCAUUUUAGAGGCCAUGUAGGAGGAAUUUUGAGUACAUGCAAGCUUAUUUUUUAGAGACCCUUAGUAGUUGGCUCAUAUGAGGACACGCCUCCUCACACUACUACAAAAAUCAUUUAUGGUGUCACUAUUUAUAGUGACACUUUUAAAAUAAUGACACCAUAUAGCUUAAAAUCCACAAAGGUGACACAUCAUAUAAAAAUUUUCAAUUAGGAUCAAUGAUAUUAAUUUUAGGUUUAUAAUGUCAGUUGCCAAAAAAUGACACCAUAUAAAAUAUUUUUUUUCUAAAUAUUAUAACUCAAUUGGCCCACUUUGAGAAUAAUGAUAGUAUAUAAAAAAAUCAUUGUUUCCACAUACCCACAAUCCAAAAAAAUUUCAUUCCAUAACCCUAACCAAAAUUUUUUUCUACCUCUUCUCACACCCAUAGUUAACACACAACUGUUCUUCUCUGCUUUGUGGACUCUCAGGUAACCCAAAAUCUCUUAGAUCUAUCAUUUUCAUUUAUUUUUUUAUUAAUGUCAAAAUCUUUAUGAACACAAUUGAUUUAUGUUUAUUGAUUUAAUAUAUUUGUAAUAUGGAUUGUGUAAAUAGUGUUUUUUUAUUGAGUUGUAGGAAAGUAAAAACUAGGUUUAACAUUCCACCAUAUCUUCUGGUUCAUUGUUAAACCCAUAAACCCCAAAAUGAAUGAAAAUAAGAAAAAUGAAUUAUUUUUAAAUAUCUUUUAUACUCAAGAUAAUAUAUAAACAUUUUACAAUACAAAAUUUUUUUUUGAUCUUGUAGGAAAUUUCCUUUGAUAGGAUUUUCUGUUUGUUUUCAAGGAAUAUUGUAGUAUAUUGUGAUGAAGAUAUUGAUUGGUGUUAUUUGAAAAAUAAUUUUUUAGAAAAUUAUUCUCAAUAUUAUCAUCUCCCACAAAAUGAAAAAUGAAAUAGUUUUCAUAUCAUAUUGGAGUCGGUUUGGAAUGUUGGAAUUAACAAUGAGAAAUUAAUUUUAUUUUUUAUUUAUUAAUGUAAAUGAAUUGUUUUUUUUUUAAAUUUAAAUAGGAAUGAAAAUUUUUAUAAUUAUAAAAAUGAUCAAAUAUUAUAUUUUGAUUUUUUUUUCUAUUCUUUUACAUGGUAUUAUGGUUAAUAUCUCAUCUUGUUCUAUAUAUAUUUUUUAUAUUCUUAAAAUAUGUUUUUUGCUUUUUGUUUUUACUUUCUUUUCUUAUUGUUUUUAUAUGUGUUGACCAAAAUUUAGAGUAAUUUGAGAUUGGCGAUAAAAUUUUCCUUUCAAGGUUAGAAAAUUUCUAUAAAAUCAUUUUAUUACAUAAUUUUUUCAAUUCCUUCCAUAAAACUCUUCCUUUUUCCUUUUUUAAGAAGAUGUUUGAUAAUUUUCUUUUGAUUUCUAUGAAAUUUCCUUUUAUUGGACUGUUUGUUUAUUUUCUAAGAAUAUUAUAGUAUGUUAUGAUGAGGAUAUUGGUUGGUGAUAUUUGAAAAUUAAUUUUUGAGAAAAUUAUUCUCAAUAUUGUCAUCUGCCACAAAAGGAUUUUAAAAGUAUGUUUUAUUUUUGCCUUCUUUUCUUAUUGUUUUUAUAUGCAUUGACCAAACUUUGGAGUAAUUUGAGAUUGAUGAUGAAAUUUUCCUUUCAAGGCUAGGAAAUUUCUAUAAAAUCCUUUUAUUACAAUUUUUUUUUUUUUCCUAUUCCUUCCAUAAAACUCUUCCUUUUCUUCAUUUUUCUUUUUUGAUGUUUGAUAAUUUAUUGAUCUAAAGAAUAUUAAAAGUAAAAAAUUUAAAAUAUUGAAUAUUUUUUCCUUUGAUGUUGUUAUUUUAUUAUUAUUUUUAUUUGAACAUAUUUUUCAUAUCCAAAUUUUCUAUUAAUUAUUUUACUUUUAAAAAAAAUAUCAAUUGAAGUUAUGACUGAAAAAUCAAUAAUUUUUAUGAAAGGUUCUUUAAUUCUUUCUCAUACUAAUUUUUCUCUUAACAUUUCUUAAUAGUGAAUUAGGUUUUUUUGUUUUAUAUACACAAUUUUCAUGCUUGUUAUAAUAUCAUGUCCUAUCAUAUUAGUAGUUGAAAACAUUUUUAUAUUUUGUUACUAAAAUUUUAUUUUAUAUAAUUUACAUGAAUUUUAAUGGACAUUGUUAUUUCACAAAAUGAACAUUAAAAAAAAUAUUGAAAUUAAGAAAAUCCUUCCAAGAAAUAAAAAAAUAUAAAAAGAAUUGGAUGUUAAAAAUGAUUUUUAAAAGCAUUAUGAAUUAUAAAAAAUAAAUUUAAAAGAUUAGUAUUUUCUAAAAUUUUAGAUUUAUAUUUUGAUUUUGUAGUUUUGAUUUAUUUCAUAUUUUCUUGAAUUGUUUUUAUUUGAGUUCAAAUGUGACUACUUUGUUAUGAGAUUCAUUAAAAGGAUAAUUGUUGAUUCUACAGUUAUUGCAUUAAAGGUUUUACUCAUUUAAUGAAUUGUACAUAGUUUCAUACUUCUAAUUAUUGUGAUAUUAAUGUUAUUUUCAUUUGAUUUUAGUUUGAUGACAAAAAACAUAUUCUCAAGUAGACUUUGAUGAAAUAAGAGGAGAAUGGAUUGCUUUUGUGUUAUAACUAAUCAUGAAUCAUGUUGAUGUAUCGUGAUCAUGCAUGGUGAGUCCCUUAGUUGUUAUAUAAAUUUUCCAUUGGUAUUGUAUAACAUUACUUAUUCUUUAUGAACUAUUUUUAUAUCAAAAUAGGAAAAAGAAAAAAGGAAACAUUAGUACUUAGAUUUGUUUAUUUUUUUAUAACAUCACUAUGGACCCCGCAUUUUCGGCUCGAUGCGUUUCCCACUCGAUGGCGAGCUCGAUUUUUAAUUUUGAAAAAUGAUUUUUAUUCAUUAAAAAUGACUUGGAGUCGCCACUUAUUUUUGUUUUAUUUUUAAAGGGUAAACAAAAUAAGAAAAAAAAACCCUAAGUGUGACUCCUUAUUUUAGAAAAGGCGAUCUACGAAAAAACCGGAUUGGGCUCGGGGGUUAGGUUACUUAUCGGGAAGGUACGGUAAAGACCGUAGCACCCCUCUAAGUCCCUAAAAUCGGGUCUUUACUAAUAGAAUGAAGCUGACGUGGCAGUCAACAAGAAAAUCGAUGAAUAGUCAAAUCAAUCAUGCACAAUAUGAGAAGCAAAACAUGUAUAAAGAAUGAGCGAAAUAUGAAUAGAUGCGUACCUGGACGGCAAUCACGAACGCGCUAUCAUGAAACAUGGUUAGUGAACAAUGAACAGAUAUAAUUAAGCGCAUAUCAAGGAAUAGAGUAAAUCAAUCAUGCAUAGCAAAUAAAUAAAUCAAUUAGUUAAUCGAUUAUAAAUCACAUAUGUGGGGCCCCACCAAAGUCCAUUUAUUUUGCAUGAUUUAAUUCCAAUAACUCCAUUACUUGGAAUUACGGAAAUGAAUUCUUGCUUAUUUUAAAACGUUUUAAAACGAAGGAGAUGUGGAAAUUAUUUGCUAGAAGGAAAGAUGACAACAAAAUUUUAUUGGAAAUGAGAUUUUUGAGUGAUCCUAAAAAUUCUAAAGAUGAAAAUUUGAAAAAUAAAUAAAUAAAUAAGAAUAAAAUAAAAUUAUUUGAAAAUCUAGAAAUUGGAAACUAUUUGAAAACGGGAAAUUUGGAAAUUAAUUUAAAAUUGAAGAUAAAGAAAUAAAUAGAUAAAUAAAAAAAUAAAUAAAGGACACGUGACUCAAAAUGUGGUCAUGCAUAGUUGCUUGUAAAUUGGACAGCCAGUUGCUUCUCAUACUCUCAGCGUCAAGAUGUUCCUUGAUGUAGUUGCCCCAUGUGUCAUCCUUAGCCGUGAUAAUGCAUGUGUUUUCAUCCCAAUUAAAGUCACUUUGAUCAAGAAGUGCCUUGAUAGUGACAUAUUGCAUCCUCAAGACAUCAUACCGAUUCCUCAGUUGGUCCUUAUCCAUGGAUUCCCGCGAAAUAAAUCUGUUACCAGAACAUUGUAACCAUUGCAUGCAACGCGAUAUGCGGAGUCCCUUGUGGAUGAAUUUUCGAAGCCAAAGGCAUCAAACAAGAGCAGUAUCCCUGCCAACUGCGUGUUCAUCCAGCCGCUCAAUCACGCCACUAACAUGGGCACAGCGGAAAGCAUCAACACAACCUUAAUUCCUCUCUUGUAGCUGUUUAGCAGAUCCAAGUCUGUACAAGACUUGAUCUAUGGCAACGUCAUGAGGAUAUAGCCGCGGGGUAGCAUAUGAAUCCAAUCAAUGGGAAAUGGGCAUUAGGAAUGGUGGUCAGGCUUUGCAUGAUUUCAUACACGUGAAUGAGUGAUGCUGGGACCUUCAUGGAGGCUUUGAGUGGAUCUUUGGGCGGCGGUGUAGAAAGAGAAAGGUAGCAGGAAGAAAAGAAUGGGUGUGGGCUUGGUGGUAUGAAACGUGUGGUGUUAAAGAGGAAUGUGGCGUACAUGAGGAAAGACAUGGUGAGUGGAAUGAGCUAUGGGCAUGAGAGAAAUAGAGAAAAUGGGUAUGAAGGUUAAUGAGAGAGAACGGGCGUGUGAGGGUGGUAAAGGAAAAUGGAUGAUGGAUGCACAUAGGUGGAAAUGGGAAUGGAUUUGAUAAAGCAUGAAGGUAGGAAUGGGAUUCGGGUGAUAUUAGAUUACCAUGCAUGGAGAAUGUAUACGUGGAGGUCUAUUAUGCAAAGGAACUAAAAACGGGUCAAGUGAAGGGCUGUUUAGGGAAUAUGGCAUCAGUUUCAGGUUGAGGGGAUGGGGCCCUUGGGCCAUUUGGCUACCCACAAGUAUGAUCUACAAAAUAGGGUCCUUAUGUCAGGGUCAACUUUCGGAUUUUUGCAAAGCUGAUGCUACCAAUUUAAACUCUGAUCAAUCAGUGUCCGCGAUCUUGAGUCCUUCAAGCUGAUGCAACGCGUCUUUAGGAAGGUAGAGCCUCCAAUGAAUACUUUAGAUUUCGAUUUUUGAACAAUCAUGGCAGAACCCUUCAUCGAUUGGCAUUAUCAUUACCCUGGGAUUGCAGCAAGAUGCAUGGAAGGCUUCUUCACUAUUAUCACAAAUGAGCAUAUACAAUAUAUUUUCUGAAUGACCACACGAUUUACAUGGUUGGGAUGAGUUGCUAUUCCCACUAACUCCCAGAACUUCAAGAAGCUCCUGACUCCUCAGUAUAGAAAUGCGUGUAAUCAUUACCCUCUUGUUUGGCAUGACCUGUGCAUACCCAAGAAUGACACCUACUAACCAACCAAUUGAUCCUUAUUGCAUUUAGAACUCAUCUGCAUCCCCUAGUCAAUUUCAGUUUCUGACAGUUAAACCAAAAAUCCCCAGUCUCAGCAAUGACAGUAGUCUCACUUGACAACAUUUUCUGUAUAUGCUGGAACAGAACAUAAACCCUCAAAGGCUCCUCGGGAUCAGACGUAGGAGACUGUCCCUCAGGAACGUAAACUCUAUGGUAGAACUCAUAGGCAGUGAUAUUGCAUUCGAGCCUCUUGGAGAAUGACUUGAAGAAAUCUUUCAUCAAAAUGCACCCAAGCUCAAGCCCAUAAGCACACCAAACACCAUUAUUGGGUUCGUUACAUCACCAUGCUACGGAGUUUAUACAACAGGAAGCUCUAACUGAUGAUGGUUCUGGUAGUGAUUUGCCAAUGGGAACUUGGCCAUCAAGUGAACCCGAUAUCAGAAGCUGAAGUUAUUACCUUGUACUCUUCUAUUCCCCCAUUAUCAGCAAUUCCAAUGGAAACAGUAGGAGAGCCUCAAGACUGUGUAUCCAUUCAAUAACUCUGUUUCUCAGUCAGGAUGCAAAAAACUCCCCAAUGAUUCUACAGCUGCAACCACAGGAGCCCCACUACUACCAGUUCCUUCACCCAUUCUGACAGCAACCAAAACCAGACCAAUGACUUGAACUUUAGACUUCCCCAAUCCAUUAAAUCCAGAAACCACUUGGAGUUAGAAACAUUUUCUACCUCAUCCUAGAACUUUCAGGUAUUUUACAAAGUAAUGGUCGGUAUUUUUCAAAAGCAAAAAGAAAAAAAGGUAAGACUCAAGAAACAGAGCAAACUCAGAAUUCGUUAAUCAAGACUCCAUCUCAUGCUGCACUCAAUGGAUCUAAACAGGUGAGACAAGCAGGGAGCAGUGGCAUGAUUAAUCAAUCUCAAAAAUAAUCCAUAUAUCGGUUAUUGACAGGAAAAAACAAAGAAAGCAGAAAAGAACCCAAACAGAGCAAAUACAAAAACAAACUCAAAUUCAGCAAAUCAAUCCACAAUCAAGAAAAACUAACAAUGCUCAAGUAGCCUGAGAAAAAUGAUGAAGAACAGUGAUAAUGAAAAAUACCCUAAAAAAAAGAACACGAUACUUCAUACCUGUGAAACUCCUCUCCGAUGAAGCUCACCUACCAAACCAAUCUGCUCCCAUCCUUGGCACUAGAACCCCUCUCCGUAGCAGCCUAAGCUCAAGGAAAUCCCUCUCCAGACCGAUCUCUUCUUUCUUCUCAAGUUCUUUUCUCCUCCUCUCAAAAUAUCUCUCCCUGAAAAACGGCAGCCAAAACCUCCCUCUGCAGCUGGCCUGCCCCCGUAACAGAAUACCCCCCUCUAGCUUUCUCACUACCCUCAAAAGCACCCUCUCUCUCCUGCAGCUGCAAGCCUCCACUACCCCCAUGCAGCUGGCAGCCUCUACUCCUCUAACGGCCAGCAGAUUCUCCUUCUAGAAAAUUCUUUCCCUUUUCCAGGUGUCUUUCCCUGAUUGGCCCAUCAAUUCCACUAUAGUGAUUCUACAGUGACCAAUCCUAAGAAGGCACGUGGCCUUAUGAGAUUGCGACACUUGGCAAACACAGGCUGCCAAAAAGUGAGCCCCCAAAUGGGGGUCUACAAUCACAUUUUUAUUUUCAAUAAGAACUCUAAAACUCAUUAAACUAUAAAAUGCAGAUAUACACUCUUGAGAGGACAAUAUGAAGAAUAAAAAGAAAUAAGAAAGAAGCAACAAGAUUUGGAUUUUUAGAUGUGACUCUUAUGUCAUACAUUAUACGACAUAAAUGUUAUUUUAUUUGGAAUUGAGAAUUGUGGGUUUUUUUAUGCAACUCUUGUGUCAUUUGGUUAGCCGGUUUUAUGCAUAUGAAACGUAAGUAUACAUGAAUGUUGGGAUGCUUAACAUUUCUAAAUCAUGUUUUAAUGUGUAUUCACUUUUCUUUUUUAGUUUUGGUGGGUUUGAUAUACUAUGUUUUGUGAACAUUUGAUAUACAAAUAUUAGUGGAUGAUGUAAUGUAUUAUAGGUUAAUCCAUAAGCAUAAAGAAAAUAUAAGUUAAAUGUAAUAUGAUUAUUAUAUUUAUGGACAAAAUUUACACACGUUGAUCUUAUUUAUUAAUAAGCAUUACAAAAAUCUAUAGGCUAGUCAACAAAAAACAACCAUAUCUUCUAUAAUCAUUUACAAUGAAGUGACACCAUAAUUCAAAGGUGAUGCAUUUAACGUGACAUCAUAACUCAAAGGUGAUGCAUUUAAUAUGACACCUUAUAUAUCUCACAUAACUCUAUAUCAAAUUAAGCAUCACUAAAAAUAUAUGGUGUCGCUUCUAAAUGCGUCACAAUUUAUCUGUUUUGGUGUCGCUUCCAAAUACGUCACCAAUUGGUACCCUCUAUGGUAUUGGUGGAUAAGGUGACGCUAUGUUGUAGCGACACCCUAUGUUUAGGGUGACUCGUUAUAAAUGUCACCAUAUAUGUUUUUCCUUGUAGUGUCAUUGGGAAGGUUUUUUCCAUUUUUUAGAGGGGUUUUCUAAAGGCUUCUAGGGUGAGGACACUGUUCUCAUAUUGGCUUUUUUUCCCCCUUUUUAGAGGGGUCUUCUAAAGGCUUCUAAGGUCAACUAGGAGAGCAUGUUGAUUGAUGCUUUGAUAUGGAUACCAGAUGCCACAUUUCAUCUUGUUGAACACUGGUUAGCUAUGGACUUGUUACUGCUUUACUCUUCUGUUUCGAGUUAACUUUGGAAAUGAAUCUGAAUAUAGACUAGUAUUUGCAUCUUGAUGUUUAGAGAAUCAUAUUUUAGUUGUUGUUUAAAAUUCAUUUUGGCAUGUUCGAUUGCUUCAAGCUCAUUUAUACAAUAAUGAAAUGGAGAUUUAUAUAUUUGUUAUUGGGUUGGCUCUCUGUUUGGUUAUCUUUAAGUUCUGCAUCUUUUCUUUUCUCGUUGCCUUAUCUUCUCUGGGGGGUGUCGUUUGAGAAAUACAUAGUGGAAAAAAUGGGAAGCUGAAGGCUUAUCCUGGCAUCGACCUCGCGUUAGGGAACGACUUGAUCGAAGAACAUAUGAAUUUUUCAAAUACCCAGAACUCACAUCAAAAGAAGCAUCGGAGUCAAGGUCAAACACAUCAUCUGACAAGGAAUAUACCUUUGCCUUUGGUGACUUUAUUGACUUCUGCAUGAUGGACAUCCGAGGGUGGGGACUGGAAGAGAAAUGAUGAAUUUGCCCAAGAUAGUUUGUCUAGAAAGGAACUUGUAUUAAAUGAUGAUUACCCACUAUGUCAGAUGUUGAAAUUUGGGUAUGACAACUCCUGGUGGCAUCAGAAAGAUGAGUUGCACAAUCCUUCUCACAGUUGAAAGCUUGACCUCCGAAGUUGGGCUUUUUCAUGGCCAGACAAGAACAGUGAUCACAAUAGUAUGAGCCAAGCCUGUCACGACCCAAAUUCUAGGUGAACUUAACCAUGACUCCAAAUCAAAGGUUUAAACUUAAAGGUUACAUCUAUUCAAUCUAGUAGUCAAUCCUGAUAACUUGAUUUUUUUUUCUUGAUAAAACAAUAUCUAAUCCCAAAUCAAUUUAUUAAGCUAAUAACUUGAUUUUUUUUCUCAAUAAAACAACAUCUAGUCCCAAAUUAAUUUAUUAAGCUAAGAUUUACUAUAUCAUAUUAUUUGAUUUUAUUUUUCAAAAAUCAACCAUUACACUAUCACUUAUUUGCAAGUAUAAUAAAUCUGUCAAACAUCUUAUCACCCAAAAUGAUAACCCAAAUAUUUACAAAAAAAAGUUUUACAAAUUAAUAAAAUAUAGUCUAAGUUAUAAAAGUUCUUAUAAAUUAAAUUAGUAUGUGCUAAAAUAUAAGAUAACUGAAAAAAAAAAAAAAAAAAAAAAAACCAUUAUUAUUAUGGUUCCUUAAAAACUAUAUUUGCAUCUAAAAAUUUUAGAAAAUAAAGGGAUGGACAUUUCCACAUUACUUAGUAAGGUAUUUUACACCCACACAAAUUAGAAAUUCUAAGUCAAUAAAACACAAUCAUAUAUCAAAGUGUAAUUUUACAUCUAAUGUACUACAACUAUAUACAUUUAAACUAAUCAAAAUUAUCACUAACCAUAAUCAGACUCCAAAUAAUACAAAUAACAUUUAUUAUCUCCCAAAAACAUAAUGUGUAAUUUUGUUUCCAAAGAAAAAUAUAAAAUAAAAGUUUUAGGGUUAAACCACCCUACAUCAAAUUUGAAAAUCUAAUUGUUAAAACUAAAAUCAGACUCCGUAAAAAUGUUCUUUAUGUUAAAUAGAGUGUUUUGCUAAAAUCUCAUGCAAAACAGAAUUCAUUUGGCUUGUCGGAUGACAACCCAAAUAUUUGUUGCACCUUCCUUGUUUCUUCUCUUCCUUUGUGUUUCCGUUUGCACUCUUCUCUCUACGGAUCUGGUAAAUAGGGUAGCCCCUGGUACGCUUGGGGCUGGAUUGAAUCCUAUUCGAACUAUAUCUAACUUGAUCUUGUCCAAGCUAGGAAGGUUUUUGGUCUCGAUGACAUUGGAAGUUUCAUCAUUGCUAAAGAAAGGGGCGGCCAAAAAGGCUUAGCGACGACCCUCUCUCGACUUAAAGGAAACGACUUGUCCCAUCCAAUGCCCUACUUUUAAGUGCUCGGUAUGUUCACUUAAUCAAAUCUAGAAGAAGCUUGGCCUCUGUAGAGCAUGAAAAGGCUAGUUUUGAAGCUUUUAAUCGAGGACUUAUUUGCCCUAAAGCCUGACUUCUUAGGAAGAGAAAUGGGCUUGACUUCUUCAUCAACCUCGGAAUCGCAUUCUAUCACACUGGUGGUACUUCUUGUUGAAUUAAAAGAUUGGAUGAGUCUUUUUGUACCCACCCGCCACCCCUGUUUGAGAGUGAUUAAAUAUCAUAACUUCCUUAAUGGACCUACGGACUAGCUAAGGUUUACUUACAUAGUUGUUCUUUCUUUUCUCAAUUUCAAGUUAAAGUUAGCGUUUUUCAGCUUACUGUUUGCUUUGGUUGAGUAGCCGCCUUAUGACCCUUUGCUUUUGAAUGAAAUCAUCUAGAACCUCUCAGAUCGGAUUCCAAUCACCUUAGUGAGUCUCCUAGGUGCGAAGCCAUUCUUUAAGCCCAAAACAAAAGGAGAAGUGAAGUCACUAUCUAGACAAAGGGGCUUGCCUACUUAUAAGGUAGGAGUUCACACCGGGGAAUCGCUUUCUUAAUUAAUUAAAAGCGAGCCAAACUCACCACCUCAUGUACCAAAGUCAAACGGUUGUUCUUCCUUCCCCGCUCCCUUUUUCUCUACAUAUGUGAUGGCGGGCAGAGCGCUCUAUAUGACCGGUGGUGGGUUACCAGAGAAGAUGGGACAACUUCUUUCUCUCUUGCCUUGCUCAAUCUUCCUUUUCUGAUUGAAAGUAGCAAGCCACACCACUACUGGUACAGAGGUCGGAUAGAAGGUUGCUUUUUCUAUAUGUUCAGGCGAAGAACAUCUACGGCACAGUCUUCGCCAAGCAAGAUGAUGUAACUCCUCAAAACAUAAAAAGAGCUCUUAUAUAUGUAAAAACAUGAUAUAUGUGUAAAUGAAUUAUAGCCAUUUUCAAAUAGAUCAGGAUCGUCAGAUGUUUGAAAUGGAAAGUCAAUUUUUCUAUAUGCAUGUAGAUAUCUAUAGGGGAUUAUAUGAAGGGGAUGUUAUUAUUUUAGAUAUAAUCAAUUCCCUUCUCGGAGCCCACUAAGAUCCGGAUCUCCUACGGAAAUGAUUUAGAAGAUCCAAAACCAAAAAUAGUGGUAUUUGCUAGCAACAACAUAAUGGAGGCAGUCAAUCAAUAUAUAUUGAUCUAAAAUCUGAUUCAAAUCCAAUAUAGCACCUAUGGGUACAUAAAAGAAAGGCAAGAGAGAAAAGAAGUCCAUACUUUUCAACAAAGCUUUAAGUGAGUAGGGGUGUAGCAGAUUCAUGCACGUCGAAUAUAAAUGCAGUUGGAUGAGUAGUCGCGGAUUCACAAUGCCGGUUAAAAAGCCAAUCUUAGGGUUGCAUUCACUCCCCUUCUAUAUCUUGCAUCUAUAGUAUUUUUGUCCUGGUGGAUCUCUUUAUCAUUUAAUAAAAGUUUGGAAUCUUGGGUUACUAAUUGGUGGAAUACUAGGCAAUCUAAAACUUUUUUGAAUGAUAUUCAAGAAAACAAUCAAUUUCCCAUCAUUUGCACUAUGAAUGGAAAUGAAAUUCUAGAUCUAGAAUCAGAUGAAUGUGCAACAGUCAAUUUCCUCCCUCACAACCUAAUUGUCCACUAAAAACAACCUUUUUUACUAUACGCUAUUUGGCCGCUAGAAGAACUUCAGUUCUUAUAGGUAAAUGCUCAAUACCCAAGUAGGCCUACAAAGUUGAUCAUGAUCAAGUGCUUUUUGGGUCGUCUUAGACCUUGCAAUAUCUCUCCGGCCCUCUAGCACUCUGUUAUGGCUCAAUCACUUACUCUAGUUCUGGAGUUCUAGGUCCUCUAGCUAUUAGUGCAGGUAGCUCUCCUUCUGGUAAUGCAUUAUAGGUUGUCUUCCUUCCACCUUCCUGUUUUCAAGAAAGCUUAUUUUCUUUCUAAGAAAAAUCAUACAAUCUCGUAUGAGAACGGGAUUGAUGGGAGGCAUAUGCUCCCAGGCUACACAAUGUCUUACAGGGCUUACCCAGUUAGAAGGUAUGUAACUAAAGUCUCAAGAGAAUUGAAAUCGACGAGAAAUCAGAAUCAAUGUUAGAGAUUAGACUUGGCAUGGAAAAAGGAGUAUAGUAAGAUGAUAGAGACCUCGCACGAGAUGCUUACUCGGAUUCAUGCCCAUAAAGAGUAGAAGAUUCAACACAAGUGCAAGAAUAGGUUUCACAGUUAAGAAAGGUUGAGAUUCAGGUGAGUGAGUGAGUCCUCACUGACUUGAGCGAUUUCGAUCACCUAGCAGUUUAUUUGGUAGGUAACAUCGCUAAAGCAUAUCAUCUGAUCUACAAAUGAAGGAAAUCAAAGUGAGACGACACCGUCCUCUGUAACGCAACGAUAGUUGGCCCUUUAUCAUCAACUAUUUGGUAGACUUGGUAAAAGAUGUAAGGCUUUAGCUAGUACACGAAAGUGCAUACCAUGAUUCUUCUGUCUAUCAAUAACUGCAUGCAUUGCACGAUGGAUGUGAAGAAGUAGGCCAUUAUCUCGACAAUAAUGAGCCAAGCUAGUAUUUGCAGUGAAUCCCCCUGUUAAGUAGUCACAUUAAUGGAACAAGAACACAUUAGCGUAUGAAACAGAGCUGAAAGCGCGAGUGCACAAUCUCAAAAACGGCAAAUUCACGUUCUACUUCCUCAAUCUCGAACUCUGUCUAUUGGGAUGAGCUCCCCUUACCUGCGCUAUUCUAUGAACGAACUUCCUUUAUAAACCAUAAAACUGGAACAAUCACUGUUCCAGGGUCUGUCUCAGAGUUCUAUCUCGUGCUUGACAUCAAUUGCAUCCAAACCUUUAAUCGGGUAUACUUUCCACAAUAACAAGCGAGUCAUAGUUAGGUAAAAGUUAUACAGAAAGAUGACAUCGUUGGCGAACUUGAAGCUAGUUAGGUAAAUCCCCUUAUAUUCUUCUUUCUUCUCCCAUAAGACAUUCCUUAUUAUUAUUAUUAUUAUUAUUUUCAUUUUCUCAAUUUCUUUAUCUUUUCAACUUUAAGACACCAUUUUGCACUUCUUCUUUUUUAUUAUAAUUAUUAUUCUUUAUCAACCAUACCAUGUUAAGAAAUUUAUUUAUUUUAAUCCAAAAAUCUACUUAAAUACAAUUUCAUACUUUUCUUAAUAAAUUAUAUAUAUAUAUAUAUAUAUAUAUAUAUAUAUAUAUAUAUAUAUAUAUAUAUAUAUAUAUAUAUAUUAUUUCUUAUUAUAACAAAUUUAAAAUGUCACAUGUAUCAUUUUUUUAAUAAAUCAAAUUAUUAUUCUUUAUUUCAUAUUCUACAAUUAUAAAUUAUACUCAAUAUAUGAUUUAUUGUCUUACGAAAAAUAUACUGCUAUAUUCUUAAUUAAAUUUAUUACAAGUCUACUUUUCAAAAAAAAAUUAAUUUGACUUUAAUUACUUGAAACAUUUUUAUUAUGAAAUUCAUUUAGAACAUGAUUUCAUUAAUUAUAUAUUUAAAAAAAAUCAAUUUUAGAAAAAAAUCUGAAACAUAAAAUAAUUCUUCAACAUCAAGAAGCUGAAAUUCAUAAUAAUAUUUAAUCCUUUAAUUUUACCAAUAUUUAUUUACCAAUAAAAUUUAAGCAAUAUUCUGAAAUUUAAUUCCAUUAGUUAUUUAGUCAUUCAAUUUAUAAAAUCAUAUUCUCAACCUUUGGUAUAACUUUUAUUUAAUUUACUUCAUUUGUCAAAUUUCUCAAUUGAAUCAAAAUUUCAAAAGUUAAAUUCACUAAAUUCAUAUUUAAUUAAUUUAGCCUUUUAUAUUCCCUAAAUUAAUAUAUCAUAAUUUACUCUUAAUGUAAUUUCAAUUCAAUUUUAUUUGAUGUUUUGUAAUUCUAUAAGGUUUAAUUCUAAUUAUAAAAAUUAUUGAUUUCUUAUAAAAUUAAAUUCAAUUUCUUUUUAAUUAUCCAUUAUAACAAUUUGAUAUAAUCUAAAUUUUUAUCAAGUUUUUCUUACUACAAUUCUCUAUAAUUAAAUUAAUGGUCAUAAUAUACUUAAUAUUCAAUUUUAGAGACUAUAAUAUCAAUAAUUAUUUGAUGGUUGAAUUUUUUUCCAAAUUUAAAUUUAAUUUUUGAAAUUCCUACUCUUUGCAUAUGACGUGAUGGAAUUUUUAUACUAUUGACUUUUUAUUAACUUUUUCAAAAAAUUUCUUAAUUAAAUAUUAACACGGGGAUUUUCGUCAUUCUUUUUUAACAUUUGACUAAUGAUUUUAUGAUAACUUUAAUCUGACAUGUCAUUAAAAAUCCGGUUGUUAUAGAGCCAGUCAAAUUAAGCCUGUUAUCCGAGGAGUGAAGCCACUGCCUUGUUCUAUCUCCGAUGGCCUGCUCAGCUCCUUCAACCCCCAUCGCUCUCCUCUUUCCAAGUUCUCCAUUUUCAGUUUAGAGCCAACAAGGAUCGCAGAAAUCCUUAAAGAUUGACCUACAUGGUAUCGUGAGUACCGCGAUGUGGAUGUUCUUAAUGUGUUGUCUACUAGAGCCAAAUGGGUGUUUGAUAAGACCCAGUGAAGGUGUAAAAAUUAUAUGACGAAGCUUGCAGAAAGACUUUGAGUUGAGGGAAGGCAUCUCAACGAAGUUGGGCUUUUGUAUUGUGAAUCUGGCAAAUUACCUAUACUGCAUGGAUCAUCACUCUUUUAACGUGGAGGUACACAGGUCCUUUGCAAUGUGACACUUGGGGCACCACAUCAAGCUGGUGAUGCUCAACGACUGGCUUCUCUGGACGGGUCCUCCAACAAAGCGCUUCAUGCUUCACUGAAAUUUCCCGGAGUUCUCAAUUAAUGAAGUUGGCCAACUCCUUAACCUGCACUGUUCCGCAGCAGUCACAUAAAGAUUUGACAUUGAAAUUGAUCAGGUUUUUCCUCUGCCAAUGGUGGUGGGCGCGCUUUGUAUGUAGAUUCCGAAGGAACUUCCAACUUGAUGGCUGUGAGUGGUAAGGUUGGAGAAGAUACUACUGGGUCUGCCCCAUUAGUUUUCCAUUGUUAAGGUAGUUUGGUGCACAGCUUCCUGGAUCAUCUACACCACGAGCACCUCCAGCCGCCUGUUUUGAUCAGUUUCUGGAUUUCCAUCUCCAAAUUGUGCAAGCAGUGACUGAUAUGGUGUCCAUACAAGCGGCUACUGAAAUGGUUCAAACCCCAAAUGCUGAAGGGAAAGGAGCUUUUGGAAAAUAUCAUGAAGAAGACUCACCCAUCUUACAUGAAAUUAUACACAACUCCAUGGACCAGAACCGGAACCCAGACUUAAAUUUGUCCAAGAGAAGAUCAGUGUAAUACAAGUCAACUGCAGUCAUUCCUGAAAGAAGUGAUGAGAAGAGUAAACCUGGAAAAGCAGUGAGUGAAACAAGUUUUGUGACAUUGAACAAUUUGCAGAUGGGUGUUCCCACAAGCUCCUCUCCCCUCUUCCUACGUGCAUGAAAUUCCUACGUGCAUGGCCACCUUCUUAGGUGUGCAAUUCUGCGCAUAAUUCUCAAGCGUACUAUCACCCUCUUCUUUUUUGAAAAAUUGAUUUUAAAUUUAAAAUUUUGACAAAUUCAUUUCCCUUUUAAAAUCCCUCAGUAAUUCUCUUCAAAUUAAUAAAAUCUAUUUUCAAAAAAAAUUUGCUGCCAUUUUCCUUUUGGCAUAGACCUUUUUCUAUUUUCUUUGAUUUUUAAUCAUUUUCCAAUUUUUUAAUAAAUAUGAAUAAAUUCUAUGUUUUUAAAAAUAAUGGAAUUUUGUCCAAAUUUCUAUUAUCUUUUUCUCCAUGAUCAUUAGAAAGAUGAAAUUCCUAAAAUUAAUUCAUGCAAAUAAAUUGGACAUUGGUAGGCCCAACAUAUGAAUUUUUCUCCUUUGAUUAUUGUUUUUAAUUGCUACACUUGAUUGACUAAUGAUUGAUCUCUGUCUUGCUCUAGCAUACAUGAGAUUAUUUUGUGCUUGUUAUUGUACACUAACCAUGUUUCUCACGAAGCGCUCAACUUAUUCUCAAGUACGUUCUUUCCUUUUCCUAUUCGUUUAGUUAUAACCAAUGUUUUCAAAAUCGGACCGAUCAUUGAAUUGGAAAAGUUACUGGUUCACGGUUCACUGGUCGAAUCGGCGGUCAAAUCACGGUCAAACUAGUGAUGUCAUAAAUAUAUAAUUUAUAAAUUAUUAAAAUUUAAAAUAAUUAUAAAAAUAAAAAUAAUAAUUUAUAUAUUAUUUAAAAAUUAAAAUUUUAUUUAAAAAUUAGAAAAUUAGUUUCAAAUUAGAAAUUAAAAUUAAAAUCAUAAUUUUAAUUUUAAUUUUCAAAUUUUCAAAUUCAUUUUUAAAUAAAAAAAAACUUAUUUUAAAAUCAUGAAUUUAUUUAAAAUUAUAAUAUUUUCAUUAAUUUAAAUUAAAAUCAUAAGUUUUAAACAUCAUGAAAUAAAAAAUAAUAAAUAUAAAAGAAAAUAAAUUAUACUGAAAUGAGGUAAAAAAUAAUUUAAAAAAAUGGAAAAAGAGAGGAGAGGAACAAGCAAAAAAGGGUUCCAACAGGGUUUUGGGGGGUGGGGUUUCCAUUUCUAGCGCCAGGUGGGGGCCCUUCCGGUGGGCCAAAAGGGGAAAAGCUUUUUGGCUUUUCCAGUGCAAGGGGUGCCGAUGGGGUGGGGGGUUCCAAUGGGCAAGAAGAGCUCUUCCAGCGCACGCGGGUAGGAGUGGCGACAAUGGGGAAAAAAAAAAAGUUGAACCGGAUGGUUCCAUCCGAACCGUCCGGUUAGUCGGCCGAACCACCGAUUUAACUAGUCCGACCACUUUCCAGCCCAAUUGACCAAACCAGAUUGAAACCGUGACCAGCCGAUCCAAUCCAAUUUUUAAAGCCAUAAUUAUAGCUCAACCAUAACACAUCAUUGAUCAUUACUUGGUAUUUGUUGACUUUUUGAUCAAUUGUCAUUCUUAUAUUAACUUGAUUAUUAGAGACCUAAUUUUAGGGUAUAAAGGGGUAUUACGAUUUAUCAUCCUACCUUCUCAACAAGUAACCUGACCCUUGAACCCAGACUUGGUUUUUCAUAAACCCGUAUUUUCCUUUCAAGUUUCAUACUUAGAAUUUUUUUUUUUCCAUUUAAAAAUAAAAUAAAGAUACGUGGCCUAAAACCAUUUUCAUCAAUCCAAAGUGAGUCUUGUCUUUUUUUUUUUCAAGUAAGGACACGAUCACAGGUCUACAAUACUAUUUUAAUAUAUAUAAUGAAAUAUAGAUAUUAACGCCAUCUUAAAGAUAUAAUUAAAUUUUUUGUUUAAAAUAAAUUAUAAUAAUUUAAAAAUAAUAUUUUAUUUAAAAUAAAUUUUAGAAUAAGCAAAGUUGAUAUGUGGACAUAGAGAAUCGUGAACCAUUGUAAAUGUAUUGAUUAUAUCUCUUUCUUCCCAUUUCAUUUUUACUUUAGUUUUUAUUAUUCGUAUCUUUUUCUACUAAAAUUUGAAAAAGAAAUUCACAUUCACUUCUUCUUGGGUGUAUAUCAUAGGAUUCAAAAUGUUUUUAAAAAUUAUUAAAUUUGUUAAUUGUGACUAUAUGCUUAUUUAGGAUCCAUUGAUCUUAAUAACUUUCUUCCCGAUAUAGGAAGAAAAUGACUAUUCCAUUAAUGCAGCAUGCAUUGCUGCUUAUUUAUCAAGCAAAUUACAUUAUUAUUUUCACACCAAACCUCCAAAUUCUCCAUGCAUAUACGCAUCCUAUACUGCAUGGCCAACUUCAGAGAGCUAAAACAAGCUCUUAUUGAAUACAUGAUAGAUAAUGUCCCACUGACCCUUUUACUCUGAUACCCUGAAAUGAGAAAUUUGGAGGUUUUCCACAUCAAGCUUCUUGAAAUUACUGCGCCUUCUCGUAACAAAGAACUUUCCCCAGUUGUAUGCUCUAUACUUUGGCUUUUCCCCCUUCGUCAGCUCCUCCAAGGGCUUCACCCAAACAUGGUGCCCGGGACUCAAAACGAACGGAAUCGAGAACCUUUCCCUCUCUGAAUUCACCAUCACCCUGUGCUCCACACUUUCAUAAGUAUCGUUGCUCCAGACCUGGUUUAAUAUCAGUAGAAUUAACCAAAUGAGUGAAAAAUUCCUUGAGCCAAACACUACUGAUAAGCAUGUACUUGUAAUUCAAAGUUCUUGGGUGGUACCUGAACUAUAUCCCCAACAUUGAUGAUAUAAGCAUCUGGGGUGGGCUUAACUCGAACCCAUUCUCCAUCAGUUUUUCGCUUUACUUCCAACCCUCCAACAUCAUCCUGAGCAAGGAAAGUUAAGGCUCCGGAAUCCUUGUGGCGACCAAUGCCCAGAGCUAGGUGAGGAAUGGAGCAAGGUGGGUAGUGAUUGAGGCGGAUGAAGUUUGUUGAUUCUUCAAAGAGAAGAUUGAAUCUGUUCUCUGGCAAACCUAAGCUCAGAGAGAGGAGUCCCAACAGAUUGACAGCUAGUUUUUCCAUUUCUCUAGCAUAUUCUUCACAUACCUCCCUGUAUAAAUCAGCUCAAUUAGAACAAAAAAACUUAAGUAAUUCACUGUAGUGACUGUGCCUUAGCUGGUGGAAUUUGUACCUUAAUUCAGGAGGGUACUGAGGCCACUGAUUGAUCAGCUUUUCGAGCUCCUUGUCGUCAGGAUUAGGCGAAGCAGGGAUGAAGGCGGGGGAUGACGCCACGAUAUCAAAGACUUCCUUCCAGUCCCUAACGUUCUUGGUAUGCUCAGUAUCGAAAUACCCAAAAGGAUUCACCUCAUCUCUACUCACCUUCCUCUUCUCCUCCAAUGGCAGAGCGAAGAACUUCCUCGCCGCAUCCUCAAUUUUACGACGAGACUCGGAGGGCACCCCAUGGUUGAUGACUUGAAAGAAGCCCCAGUUCUUGCACGCAUCAGCUAUUUGAGAAACAUGGUUGGAAGCAUUGGCGGAAGAGAGAUCAAUGAGGGGGAUGCCUUCAGCUUCGAUAACAGCGAGCUUAGGCCUAUGUUGGGUGUCUUGGAUGAAAGCUGGAUCGACCUCUCCCAUGGCUGUGGUAGUGGUUAGAACUUAGAACUUAGAAAUGGCGGUUAUGCACUGCUGGUGUUAGCUGCACGUGAAGAUGGUGAGGGGGACUUGGCCACUUAGCAGGUGGUUUUUGUAGUGUAGUGGGGUUGGUUUAGUACAUUGAACCUGGACAUAAUUGGGGUUACGUUUUAAGUUUUGGUUGGGGGUGUGGGCUCAUGGGUUGCGCAAAUGUCAAUGAUAAUUGGUCAAGUGAUACCAAGUUAUUUCCAAAAUCUGCAGCCGCAAAGGGUAUCUCUCUCGAUGAUUUUGGCAACGUACAGCACUCUCCACAUUCAAAUGUUUGAUCAAAGAUACGUUUUGUUUAGUGUCGUGUAUAUUUUCGAAUUAAUUACUUCAUAUUUAGGGAUACGUUUUGUUGAGUAUCGUGUAUAUUUUCGAAUUAAAAACUUCAUAUUUAGGGAAAAGUGUGCUUCAAUACGCUAAUAUAAAAAUAUCAGCAAAAUAAGAUCCUAAUUUUUCAUAUUUUAAGGUUUAUAAUGCAAUUGGAAAUUAUUUGGAGAAUUAUGCAUUUUCAGCUCAUGUGUAUUUCAAAUCCAAAAUGCUCUCCACCUUGCCAGCCAAGUCUUACACGUUGAAAGUAAAGAGAGAAAAAAUCUUCAAAAAGCCACCAAAACCAAUUUCUCUUUCUUUUUGAGUUAUUUGAUUCAAAAGAUCAAUAAAAUCCAAUUUUUAAAAUUUAACCCUUUGUUCUUUUUUUUUUCAUUUUGAUAAAAAUAUCUUUACCAUUUUCUUGUAGAAAUAACAUUUUUUUUAAACCUAUAUGUAAAUACUUGAAAUGGUAAGAGACGUGUACAUUAAAAAAAAGUUAUUUUUCAAGUAAAAAUAUAGAAAGGAUUAUUUCAUCCCUUUUAACCAAAUAUUUAACAUGAUCAAGGACUAUUCCCUAAAUGAAGGCAUACGGUAGCAAAUACCCUUAAUCUAAACAUUAAAAGUACAACUUAUCUAGUAUCAAACACUCUGUUUUAAAACCCAUAGCCACUCCAAAUAUCCCAAAUAUUCUUUUCUAUGCAACCUCUCUCUCUCUCUUUCUCGCACAAACACACUAAAAUAUUUUCUCAAACUUGGAUUUUUCUCCACAACUCAACCCUAACUUCCUUUCUAUUUGUACCAAGGCUAGAGAAUAUAGUUUAUACUUGUAUUCCUUCAUGUACCAAGCCCACAAGAUGAUCAAUAAGUUUCUCUCUAGAUUUUACAUUGGAGUUGAUUGAUGAUAGUACCCUUAUUAGGUAGUAUAUUAUCUUCCUUAGGUACUGCUUUUUCCAUCCUUAGAUACUACCUUUGUAACCUUGGGUGCAUGAUUGAAUCCAUUGUUUCAUGGCUACUUCAAGUAAGUCAGGAACUUAUGUACAUGUGUGCUACAUGUCUUAUAGAUACUAAAUUUACAUUCUUUAGGUACUACCUUUACCUUCCAUGGGUACAAAUACGGUUAAUGAUAAGAAUUUUAAUAUAAAAAAGGGAAAAACCCUGCUUGAUAAUAAAAUUGCAUAUAUUUUCUUUCUUUCUUUCCUUUUUGAUUGAUUUUUUUUUUUUUUGGUCUUUGCUUUGGUUUUUAUUUAUGUCUUUGUUUCUUUUAGUCUUUGUGUGUGUGUGUUUUAUUUUAUCUUAUUUUCAUCUCUAUGCAGAAGAUGUAGAAGAAACAACAUCACAUCAUAAGGUGCAUUUUUCCGUUCAUUUAAGACUAAAGGUUUUGGAUUCACAAAAUGGUGGGAACUAAGGGUGAGAAGCUGGAAAAAUGUUGGAUUGAGCUACAUUUGAUCAAUGGUGAAUUUGCAAAAAAGAUUGUAGGAGAGUGUAGACCCUCAAUUUUGUCCCUUUAGCACAUGUUUUAAAGUCCAUUACCAAUACUUUACAGUAAUCUCUUGGUAGCCCAUAGCUACUCACGCUACUUACCUUUCUUGAGCCACCUCGGAGACUCUAGUUGAGGGAUUGCCUAACCCCUUAUUGUGACCCUUGGCAGUUUUGAUUUAGACUUAAGGUUUUCAUUCCUUCUUAGGAUAGCUCUUAGGUGCACUUUUAGGUCCACUUAGGCAUCACCCUUGGCUAAUUUAGACAUUUUGGGCCCGUUUAGACACCUUAAACUCGCCUAGAUUCACCUUAGACCCGCUUAAGCACUUCAUUGGGGCUCAACAUUUUUAUAUAAUCUCUUGAUCAUUAUUGCAUGCAUUUGAUGAUUAUAUUUUCUUUGUUUAUUCAUUUAUUUGUUUGUUUAUUUAUUCAUCCAUUUAUUUAUUCAUUUUUUAAUUUCUAUUACGUCUUGUUUUUUUUUUUCUUUCUUUCUUUCAUUUAUUUACCUACUUAAUAGAGAAUUGUUUAGAUAUUAAAUAUGCAUACAACCCCCUUAUUGAAUGAUGGAAUUGUACAAUCUGAUAUCUCAUUUUCUCUUUCAUUUUCUUUUAAUCGUAUUUCACUUUAUUACCAAUUUCAUGACUUUCAUUAGUUGCUUCUCUUUUCCUUUGAUUUUUUAAUCUUAUCUUAUUUUGUUUUGCAUAAGGAGCACCAUCUUGGGGAGUACAAGAGGAUCUACAUUACUGGUUUGAUCAACAUAUGUUUGAGACUAAAAGCCUUCAAGAUGGCAAAAGAUGGUCAUCACAGCCCCAUGCUUCUUCUUCCCAUCUCUCAUAAUUGAAGCCUCUGUACAAAACUUCAUCAUAUCCUGAACAAUAGCAGCCACAGCAGUUGCAGCCACAGCAGCUGCAGCCACAGCAACUGCAGCCACAACAGCUGCAGCCACAGCAGCUGCAGCGACAGCGGCAACCACAGUUAAUGCUGCAACAGCAGCCACAGCAGCAUAGACUGCAUCAUCCAGUUCAACCUUCAUUUGGUCAUUUAUCAGGGUUGCAGCCCCAACUAUUUAAUCCCCAUCUUUCCCCAGCUCCACUCAUCAUGAACAAAUAUGAAGCAAUGCUUGGGAUAGGUAAUCUGAGGGAUCAAAGACCCAAGUCAAUGCAAAAAGGUAGACCAAAUCAUCGGGUUUCUCAACAGGGCUUGGAUACUAGCAGUCGGAAGAGUGAUGUUGGUGGCCACAGUUCAGAUCCAAGUAUAUGACAGCUGAUGAAAUCGAAAGUAUCCUUAGAAUGCAACGUUGCGGAACAGAUGGAUGAGUAGAAAGGAAAAUAGCAUGAAAAUAGAAAGGAAGUGACCACUUUGUGCACAACACGCAUAUAGUGGGCUGUAAGGGGGAUUCUUUUUUGUUUAGAAAGAAAAGUCAACUUGUAUCACUUACUAAACGAGAUGUGGCUGCAUCCUUGAGGGAAUCUCCCAAUGAGCCACCAUGUAUGCACUUUCCUUAUCCAUGUGCAUUGAAAAAGGAUAUAGAAUAUUCAAUAGAGGAAAGGUGCUGCCAUAUAGAAGGAAGGUGCUGCCAUAUAAACAUGUCACAGAGAGAACACACGGUGGACUUUUCUUUUGGGAGCAGAAAUUCACAUACAAAAAGUAAUCUUUUUUAGAGGAGAUGAACACACGCAAGAGUUUUUUUUUGGGAGCGGUAGAGGACCUGAACGACUAAUUGGGCUGCCAUUUUGACACAUCAAGAAAGUAUUUUUCCAAUACAAUACAGGUUAGUUUUCGAUUUUUGAUACCGUAUUUCCUUUUUUUUUUAGUUUGGGUUUUAGUUGUUUGGUUUAAUUAAUUGUUUGUGAUAAAUUCUUUUAAAUCUCGAUUUCGAACAAUCUUUUAUUUUUCUUAUAUUAAAUGUCUAUCUUUUAUGAUUGCAAUUCAUUAGUUCUAUGCUAGUUUAUUUUUAAUUUACAUGAAAGUUUAAAUAAAGUUUAUAUUUUUAAUUCCAAUUAGUUUAUUUUUAAAUUUGAAUGAGUUAUCGAUCUUAAUUAUUUAGUUUAAUUGACCUUGUGAGAUAAAAUUUAUAUUUUUAAUUCUAAUUAGUUUAAUUUUAGUUUAUUUUUAAUUUGAAUGAGUUAUCGAUCUUAAUUCUUUAGUUUAAUCGACCUUGUGAGAUAAAAUUUAUAUUUUUAAUUCCAAUUAGUUUAAUUUUAGUUUAUUUUUAAUUUGAAUGAGUUAUCGAUUUUAAUUCUUUGGUUUAAUUGUCCUUGUGAGAUAAAAUUUAUAUUUUUAAUUCCAAUUAGUUUAAUUUUAGUUUAUUUUUAAUUUGAAUGAGUUAUUGAUCUUAAAUCUAUUAGUUUAAUUGGACUUGUAAGGUAAAGUUUAUAUUUUUAAUUCCGAUUAGUUUAAUUUUAGUUUAUUUUUAAUUUGAAUGAGUUAUUGAUCUUAAAUCUAUUAGUUUAAUUGGACUUGUAAGGUAAAAUUUAUAUUUUUAAUUCUAAUUAGUUUAAUUUUAGUUUAUUUUUAAUUCGAAUGAGUCAUUGAUCUUAAUCUAUUAGUUUAAUUGGUCUUGUAAGGUAAAGUUUAUAUUUUUAAUUCCGAUUAGUUUAAAUUCUAGUUUAUUUUUAAUUUGAAUGUGUUAUCGAUCUUAAUUCUUUAGUUUAAUCGAUCUUGUGAGGUAAAGUUUACAUUUUUAAUUCCAAUUAGUCUAAUUCUAGUUAUUCAUGUGUUUCUUGAAAUCUAAAUGUUAGUUUUUGAAUGAUAAUUUUGUUAGUUUGUUUGAUUAGGAAGUCAUAAAUUUGUUGUCUUAGUGAUUGUUGGUCAAUUUUUUUUUAGGACCACUGGAAACCCAUGAAGGUUGGCCUUUACUCUCACCACUUUAAUUGAUAAGAUUUUCUAAAAUCUUUAUUUCGUGAUCUUUGUUUCCUUUUGUUUUGAUUGAUAUUUUGUUUUCUAUUUUUGUUAUUUUAAAAAUUAAUUUCUUUUAUUUUAAAACAAAACUCUUUUUCUCAAAAAAACCCUUUUUAAAAUUUUUUUUUUAUUAUUCAUUUAAAGCCUCUAGAAUCAAAAUCUAUUUUCUUUUUUAAAAAAUAACAUGCAACCAUAUCUUAAUCAGUUUGCAUCCUUCUCAAUUUUCAACAAAAAUAUCCUUCUCAAUUUUCAACAAAAAUUUUGGUUUUAAACAAAACGCGAAUCAAAGCUUGUGGUCCCAAAUAAAUGGAACAAUUUUAGGCUAAAUUCAUGUAUAUUAAUUUGGGGAAUUGGUGAAACCCCUACAUAAGAAAAUCUUUUCAAAAUUUACUUUUGCUACCACCCUACUAUUUAUCAUAAUCAUAUUUACUUUUUUUCUUUUUAGGAAUUGUAUACAAGAUAUGUAUGAUAAUUAAUUAUUCCGAGUUCUGAUAAUUUUUGCUAAUUAAUUAGAUAAGCAUGCUAGGAUUUAUUAUUUAUUAUCUAUUAUCUAUUAUCUAACCCUCAUGUUCUGAGGAAGUGCAUUAGGAGUUAUAUAUGCUAUCCAGGUACGUUCCCAAAAUCUCAUGAAUAUGCAUGUCAUUACCCUUGUUUGAUGCCAUACUUGAUUGCCUCGAUGCUUGUUUGAUCAUCCUUGAUAAAAUGCAUGUCGUGUGUCAUAUUUCUGAAUUAACCAUUGAUGUUUAAUGAUAGUGCUUAAGAAGUGGUUCAGGUACGCACCCUAACUCUCCUUUAUUGUGAUUGAUCUCCUUAUUUAGCAUGCUACUUUCUGAAAAUCACCUAGCUUACUUAAGUAUCCAUAAUUAAUCAAUUAAUUGCCUCAUUUCCCCAAUUUAGUCAGUAAAGACCUCUUUAGGGCUUAGAAGGGUGCUACCUCCUAGAGGUACCUUCCCAAUAAGUAACCUGAUCCCCGGACCUAGACUCGGGUUUUUCAAAGACAUGUUUUUUUCAAAAAUUAUGGAGUCACAUUUUAGGGUUUUUCUUUCUUGUUUUAUUUUCCCUUUAAAAUAAAAAUAAAAUAAGUGGCGGCUCCAACUUUUCCAAAACUAAAUAAUUUUUCACAAAUAAAAAAAGAGUCUCGCCAAUCGAGUGGGGACGCAUGUGAAAAAUGCAGGUCCACAGAGAGGUUUCUUGAGGUGGACAAGGUCAGAAGCAAAGAGCCUUUCCCUACUUUUUGGGGUUGGUUCCUUGAGUUCUUAGGAAGAACUUAGUUAACGUGUGAAUUCAUUCAGGGUAAUUUAUGUAAGAUUUUCUAGAUUUUGCAAGUGAAUGCACCUUAGCUUUUCCUAUUGUAUUUGUGUUUUUUUAGGUUGAUUAUUUUAUUGAUUGUCACCACUCAAGGAAUGGAAGCAAUAGGGUCUCUAGAUGUAGUGCCUAAAGGCAAGCAUACAGGCGUUGUUAGGAGUGUGCUUCCCAUGUCCAACAAGCAUAUUGACACCACCCAAAGCCAAGGCAUCUUUGGACUAGGAGUUCUAGCUUCUACUUAUGUGGACUUUGUAGAUGCAGUCUGGCUCUUCGAAAUAUUUAUUGUUAUGUAGUAGUUAUACACAUGUACUUUGUUUAAGUGAAUUGAUUUUUGGAUUUUUACUUAAAUCAAAUUUAAGGGUAUGUUGUUUAAUUUACUAGAGAUCUCUUGUUUGUAAUUCUCGUUAUCAUAUAUAGAUCUUUGUUAGUAUUUGCCAAUUUCCUCAAUAGCAACUGUAUUAGUUAUCAAUGGAAUGAAUCUUGAGUAACUUGUAGUAUCAUUUUUGGUUUUGAAUUGGCUAAUCUUUUUUGGAAGAAUGAAUUAGAUAUAUGAGCUUGAUUGCAAGCAAUAGUUGAGUUUGUUUUGAUCUUGGGGUAUUUGCCUUAUUGAUAGGACAUAGAUUUUGGGUCCAAAUAGUUGGAAAUUGAUGAGCUUAACCAGGACAUAGAUUUUAUCCCCUUGGGAGAACCACAACACUAACCAGUGUUCCUACAAAAGCUAAUAACCAUGAUUUAGAAAUGUGAUUUCCCUAAAGGGAAGCAUUUCUAAUCUUAUUUGAAGGGAAACUUUGAUGUCUUCCUUAAUACACUAGAAUAUUAAUUUAAAAACAACAAUUAAGGUUAUAUUAACUAUUAUAAUAAUUUAUAAAUUACAUAAAUAUGAUAAUAACUAUUAAAAUAAAAGUAUUAAACAUAAAAAUGUUUAAUUCUGUUGGGUAAAAACUUCAUAAAUAUUUUAUUAUUGAACUUCUAUCAUAUGAUCAAACAUAGUGAUGAUCCUUAGUUGGAUUAAUUAACACUUGUUUCAUAAAUUGAACAACAUAUAACAUGAUCAAUAAACAAACAAGUAAACAUCAUACUAGAUAAAACUAUCUCUUAAGAUUUCAAUUAUUACAUGUUUAAAUUACAAAUCAUAUUUUUGCAACUUUCGUAAAGUUAUGCAAUAGAUAUAAUUAAAAUUAUGAAACAUUGAAAAUGUAUAUUGAUUCAUUAUUCAAAUUCAUCAUAUCAUAUAUAUACUUUAGUUGUCCAUAAGAUCAAAUAAUAACCAAAAUUCGAAAAAUAUGUUUUAUGAUCCAAAAUUGAUUGACACUAAUAUCAAUUGUUACAUAAACUUUAUGUGAAAUAAUUAUUUUGGAAAAUCAAUUUGGAUGCAUAAAGCAUAAUAGUUAUAAGAAAUAAAGAAAUGACAAAAUAAUAAUUAUAUUUUUGUCUUAAUCCAUGAUACCGAUAACACUUUUAAAGUGAGUUCGAGUCACUUUGUGAAUUGUUGGGUCAAGGUAUUCAACUCAUCAUUCUCAUUUAGUAGAUGAGACAAUUGUGUGGUAUAUGUUGUUAUAAGCAAAACAACUAAAAACAUAAGAAUACAAUACAACUUAGGACCUUAACUUUAAAAAAAGAUUUAUAACUCUUAAUCUUCUCAUAAAAGAUUAUAUGAGAGUUAUACUCAUUAUUUUUAAACAUUAUAUAUAAAUUAAUGGACAAUAGUAAACUACCAACUUGAAUACAUUCAUGUAAUUAUAUAAAUUACACUUUUUCAUCUUCCUCUAUUAGUCAUAAACUUUAUAUAUAAAUUAAAUCUCAUAAUGAUGGAGUUACAAAAGUUGUAAUACCAUAUUCGUAUAAAUGAAAAUUUUCUAACUCCAUAUUUAUAAUUUUAAUUUUCUAUGUUAGAAGUUGAAUUUGUUCCACAUCGCCAAGUUACCGGGUUAUUAUGUUGUUUAUAUAUGUGGAUUGGGCACCCUCUCCCUUUAAGCAAGCUUUUAGGGAUGAAUUAUAUUCAAACCCAUUUAACAUGGUAUCAGAGCUUGGUUUGACUGGGGGUCGUGGGUUCAAGCCACCUCUUCGCAAUUCGUAUGUUUGUUCCUCAUUUGCAUGUUUGAAAGUCUAGAAAAGGGUAUUUGCAUUUGUUUGUUUGUCCCUUCACGUGUGGAUAUGGGGCCACACAUAAGAUAUGGUGUUAAAAAGCAUGAAAUGUAUAUUGAACCCAAAUCUUAUAAGUUUAAGCUUUUAGGAAAAUUAGUAAUUCAACAUUCUAUACAUAAAAUUAUUUGAUGUCCAAUCAAUUGAUUCACCUACCUAUCAAUUAAUAUACUUUUAAAUAAAAUAUAUUUCAAUCCAUUACACAAAUAUAAUUAAAACAAAGUACUAUAAUAAUAUGAGUAUGUGACAAAUAAAUAAAAUAAAAAUAAUCACAUGUUACAUGUAAACUAUAUUCAAAGGAAAAACCACAAGUCAUCCCCACUAUUAAACAAUCCAUUGUAUAAUGAUCAAUUACAAAGACCAAGUAUUACCAAACUUAAAAGUAUCUAAAUCAUACUCACUUUGCACAUUUUCUUUAUACUUGGAUCCUUUAAACUCAUUUAUCCCAAUGUGGAAGCAUCUUGAGUUCUAAUCAAGGAAAUCAACCUUUACUUCAUCAAGUUAAAGUCUCUUUAUAUCAUUGACAACCAUAUCAAGAUUUCUUUUGUUGGUUGCUUUCAAAGUCCCACUAGAAUUAGAUUGAAAUUUUUAUAAUCUCUAGAACUUUAACAUAUUAAUUCUUCAAUGAGUCAAUCAAAUAUUAAGUUUUAUCUCCAUAGAUGGACCUCAAUGAAUUUUUCGACAAAGGUGUUAACACUAAUUUCAUAUUAGUAAAAAAAAAUCAUGUGACACAUAUUGAUAUAUAUAUAUAUAUACUAAUUUCAUAUUCAUAGAUUGAAUUCAUGAGAAAAUUAUUCUUAAUUUUGUAAAAAUUAUAUAUAUAAGAAAGUUUUUAGGCUUACUAAAACACAUUACUAACCAAGUGGCAAUAUAUUUAUAAUUUAGGUCUCAUUAUUUUGUAAUCAAGUUUCAUUCAUUUGUAUCAUAUAUGAGUCCUAUUAUGUCAUACCUUACUCUUAUUACAUUGUACUUUGAUCUUAUUUGUUUAAACAUCGAUUUCAUUUCUUUAUAUGUACAUCACAUUUAUUUAUAUCUCAAUCUUAAUUAUUUGUAUCUUUAUUUAACAGUUUAGAUUUCAUUACAUAUUUUUAAAAUUUUAAUUUGAAAUUCGAUAUCUUAGUAUUUUUCUAAAAUAGCUACCUAUAAUCCUUGUAGAGUACUCAAAAUUCACUCCAACCCAUAAAAAAAAAUGACCUCUCUUCGUAAGUUGCUAUACUCAUUGCUAAACUAUAAUUCCAAAAUUAGCAGAACUUUUCAUACUUAUUCUAGGCAAUUAGAGUUGAGAUGUUCCGGGCAUAUACCAUAUUCUUUCAAGAUUUGAAAGAAAUGUUACGAUUUCAGCAUUAAAUAAUGCAUGUCGAUUAACAAUAUUGCUCAGAUUCUUUAGGCAAAGGUCCACAGACAAAAAAAUUAUUUAUUUAUUUUCUGAACCACCCCUGAAAUUGACACCUCCCAUACAGUCUGAUCUGCAUUUCUGUGGCACUAUUUCCCUUAUUCCUAACCAUAAAUCUGCUGCCAUCUCAAUAAUUCACAUCCUUAUCCACUCCUUAUCUAGGGUUGUAACACUUUUUUCAAAAAGAUUUUUUUUUUUUUUUUUCGAAGGGGUGGAUAAGGGUCCUGAGACAAGCUGUGGUAUAAUUAUAAACCCACUUGGGUAAUGGUUUCAUUGUCAGGGUAAUUCUAUUUAAGGUGAAAAUCAGCUGGGUCUAUCAUUCUUGUUUCCAUGUGACUGUUUCCAAGGAGAACUCAACCCUCAAAUCCAUCGAGCAGUCAUAUAAAAAUACACGCAGAUUUCAUAUCUUGAAGCUUGUCCUGUGUUCAGAUCGGAUAACUCACUCAUAUGCCUAAUCACUAAUCGCCAACUUGAGUGUAAAAAAAGCGUGGGGCGAUAUUAUUUGUAUAUGGGUUUGACUGUUUGAGAGAGAAAGGUGGGGUGUCCCUUGGAGGAGUCCAAAGGCCAUUUUUGAACCUGCCUUUGAUUAUCGCCAUGGCAAAUCAACAGCUUGUAGUAUAUAUAUAUUAAUGGAGACCAAGACUCAAAUAGAGAGAGAGACGCGGGGAUGCGAUAAAGAGAACAGUAUAGCCAAGAGUAUAUAAGCAUUUCUCUUGCUGUAAUGGUGAUUCAGAGACUGGAAAUGUGUAUAUCACUGCUGAAAAUGGCAGUAGAGUUUGUGCUUGUUUUCGCGGAGGCAGUCGGGCUAGUCAUCAACCACAAUGCCACGCCGCUUUUGGCAAACUCAGCCUCAGUUGGCAAUGAUGUUUCUGUCCCUUUUAUCGGUUUUCUUCUUUGAAUUCUUCGUCUUGUAGUUUCCUUCCUUACCAGAAUGCUCAUUGGCCAUUGUAUAUGUUGAGGGUUCUUUUUUGCCUUGAUAGAUUUUCUAAAGGAUGUGCAUGUUUGAUAGGAGAGAGUAUAUAUACACAUCUAUGUAAACUUUGAUUAAAUUUUGUUCUGGGUGAGCUUCAUUUUCUGCAAAUUCAUUUGCUGAUAGCUUUGGAAACGAAUCUUCAGUUGUUUGGGUGCUGAUUAUUUGCUUGCUUCACACGAUUUUAUGUGCUGUUCCUUUGGUAAUAAUCUUGUUGGGUGGAUCAAGGAGAAGAGCGAAGAUCUGAGGGAAAAUAGAGUCUGGAGAAAGAAAAGAUGUAAUGAUGAUUAAGAAAGGCUUUAAUAUACUUGCAAGAUCAGGAAAAAAUAUUUCUUGGGUAUCAAUUAUUUUCUUGCUUGAUAUGGGUUUGAUACUCUUUUUCAAUUGGUGAUCAUUCUGGGAAGAUCAAGAAGAAGAAAAUGGGGUCUAGAUGAAGAAAAGCUAUAAUGGCGAUUAUUAAGUGGAAUCAGAUGAAAUAAAAGUCUGUUUCCAUCAUUCUUAAUAUGGUUUCUUUUGUCAAAAAUGGAAGAUGACUUGAUUUUCAUAGUCCCAGCAGGACUUUAGUACUCAUCAAACUCAUAAAUUUUGAACAACUUUGAGCUAACCUUCUGCAUUAAUUUGGUGCAUCUGCGCAGUUGCAGAGUAUGAACACCCACAAAAUCUUAAUAUGAAUCUUUUGGGGCAAUAGCUUCUAUAUAUGAUGGAUGAUAAGAACAAAGCAAAUCUUGGGUUCUCCAUGGGCACGAUCAUUUAUCCGCCAUAUAAAAUGCAGAUUUUCCUAACACCAACCCCUUAUUUUAAUAAAGUCAAGUUAUUUUAAGGCCCCCAAUAUUAGACAUGCCUUAGAAUCAUUGGGUCUGUGAUUAAAAAUGUAGUAAUAUCAUUUAAAAUACCUAACACUGAAAUUUUGAUAAUUUUGAAUGCCAUAGUGUGGAUUUGAAGAAAGAAAUCGCAUCCAAGAUCUCUUCCUUUUCCUGGGAAACAUUAGUCUUGGUCAAUUAUGAACUGUUACACGUUGCCUAUCAUGGUCAUAUUUAUAUUAGCUUUGAUUUCUAUGGGGGAUAUAAUUUAUUUGUAUGCUAAUCAUAGAGGUGAUACAUGUGAUCCACAUGUCAUAUUUGGACUUGGAAGCAAUCAUUGGAUUCCUUUGAUGAACUGGCAAUGGAAGAAUACUAAUUGCUCCGGUCCCUUUCUUUUUUCAAAGUAGGAUGAUCAGGUCCUUUGAUCCCUUCGACUCCCUCUGGCUGUUUUUCUUUGUUCUUUUUUCAAUCAUCCAUAGCUUAAAAUUAAAGCCUUGAUGCCCUCCUCGACUUUCCCAAGAUAAAACACCUUAUCUUCACUUUAUUUCUCUUCCCUUUAAAUUUGAUUUUAGAUCUGAAAUCCAGGGCUUAUGACCCUGUAGAAGAAAGACAGAUAUGAAGCUUGGGAUGAUUUGAACUUCAGUUUGAUUUUCUGCACACUCUGUUAAAACUCCUGAAAUAUAGUUGUAUAUUGCAAUACAUUUAAUUGUUUGAUACAUCUGAACUAUGAUGUUCUAUUAGUAAAAAUUUCUUUGAAUCAAUCCACGGCUCAAAGUACCAAUUUCUAUUGAAACUUUUUUUCUUUUCCUGCUCAUUCAAUUGUUUCAUUUUCCACAUAAUGGUAUGACAACAUCAAGAAUACUUCUCAGCAAUUGCCUGCAGGUGAACCCAAAGCUCUUUUGGCUUAGAGAUCAUGACCAUGUGAUCAGAUCCUUUAAUCUCUUUAACAGCAUCAGGUGGGUUUUUUUCAAUCAUCCAGAGUUGAAAAUCCCUUUUCCCCAGCUUGUCUUCCUCUGAAAUAAUAAAGACACGUUUAACCGAGGCAUAUUUCUUCGACAACAUGAGCUCAUUUGACAUGUCUUCUUCAAUGAACAAGCGUACGGGUCUCAUCAACACAGUCCCUAGUGCCAAGUCCUGGAAUAUUUGUGCCCGAAAUGAUAUGACAACAACAAUGAAGGUCUCAUGAUUUUGGUUGUAAGGCCUUAAUAAAUGGAGUUCUCACCUCAGUUGGGCUCAACUGAUACACAUUCAGUGAUAAGAACAAGGGGCCAAAGCUGAAAGUGGUGGGAGGAUUGUUGGGGCCAUUAUCAUAUGUGAACUGGCUGUCUAGUAGAGGACCUUGUCUCCUGAGUGACUUCAAUAAGAAGUAGAAACCAGGCUAAAAGUCAGAAACAGGGGAAGCCUUCCCCUCUUAAUCAGCAAGUAAAUUUCUGUAAAAGAAAAAUAGUAUGUAUGAAGUACCUCUUGAUUGAGAGUGGAAAUGUUGAGAGUGGGACCAGGCAUUGAGGCAGUAACAAAAACAGCUACAGAAACCUUUUCUGGGAACUUCUCCAUGGCCUGAGAAAUGGCCAAUCCACCCAAGCUGUGUCCAACGAGAACCACCCUCUCAUCUGCAGGGAGUGACUCCACGAAGUCCCUCAGUGGCUGGAAAUACCAAGAAAUUGAUCGCAGAUCACCCACUUGUUUUGGGUUAAUUCCAGAAGCAGCCAAGUCCAGAGCAGUAACUUUGUGGCCAGAUGAUUUUAGUAGUGCCACAAUCUUGUACCAAGACCAGGCACCAUGGCAAGACCCAUGAACUAGAACAAAGUGCUUGACGGGAUUAGCCUGUCUCCCCUCUGAUGCCAUUGGAUACACUGAAGAAACAAGAAAAAUCAGAAAGGAAACAAAAAUCAUAUGCUUCUUCCUUGCUUCCAUACUCCUUUCCUGUUACAGAGAUGGUCAGCACCCCAGCAUUUUAAAGGGCACAAUUGGGUAGGUUUUCACUACAACUACUAAUCUAAUUGAUUAAAAAUUUUCCCGUGAAAUUGACUCUAGAAAUAAAAUAAGGACUAAGGAUUCAAGAACACGUACACUUUGACUGCCAGAGUUUAUGUCUUUUCAUAGAUGACACAUGCACCUGCGUCACACUCUUUUUCAAUGAUAAAGAAGUUAUGCAAAGGAAGAAAGAAUGAAAUAUACAGAGUCAAGUAGUUAACUCCUCCCCUUGAAUUCUUCUCUUGCCCGGAUUGGUUUGUAACUGCAAACAUUUUCUUUUCCCAAUGUGAUCUGUGGAUUGAGUUCUGAUCUCAAUUUGUUUUUGGCAUUUUUGGUUUUGCUUCUGCAAAUCUUGAGAUGUAUCUUUCAAUUAAUAUAAGUUGUGCAGUUAAGGUUUUUGGACAUAUAAAAUGUUAGCCAAACCUUUCCCGUGGCAGGUUGAAGGUACUUUGGGGUAGGCUUGGUCAUGCUUGAUACCUCAGUCUGACUCAAACAUGAUGUUUUCACCCAUUUGAAUUGAUCAAAGUUGUGUUGACUGGCAUGAUUCCUUUAAUAAAGAAGUUGUUUUAGGAUUAAGGCGUACAACACAAAUUUGACUUAAGUAGAUCUAUUUAAUUAUUGUGUAUUAACAUAAUUAUAAUCAAUUGAGUCGAAAAUGAAUUAAAUUAAAAAGUUAAUUUUAUUGAUUUAAAUAAGACCUAAUUCAACCUGAUUAUUAAAUUACUCAACUUAUUAUAUGAUUUGAACACUGCCCACCAACAUUAAUUGUAACCCGUGCUUUGAGUUCAGGUGGCAGCAAGAGUUUGGCCUUUGUUUUGAGUGUUGGAUGAAUGUUGGAUUAACCUUUCCCAUGGCUGUCAAAUUCCUCAUAAAUUAUUGGUGAUUGUAAUAAUUUCCUCAAAAAGUAAUGGUGCUAUAUGCUUCUUUAGGAUCCAUUGAUCUUAAUAAUUCUCUUCCUGGUAUAGGAAGAAAGUGACUAUUCCAUUACUGCAGCUUUCAUUGCUGCUUAUUUAUCAAGCAAAUUACAUUAUUAUUUUCACACCAAAUCUCCAAAUUCACCAUGUACUUAUCCUAUAUACUGCAUGGUGAACUUCAGAGAGCUAAAACAAGCUCUUAUUGAAUACAUGAUAGAUGAUGUCCCACUGACCCUUUUACUCUGAUACCUUGAAAUGAGAAAUUUGGAGGUUUUCCACAUCAAGCUUCUUGAAAUUACUGCGCCUUCUCGCAGCAAAGAACUUUCCCCAGUUGUAUGCUCUGUACUUUGGCUUUUCUCCCUUCGUCAGCUCCUCCAAGGGCUUCACCCAAAC
rnacentral:lncRNA from 1 species